rnacentral:lncRNA from 1 species
AAAAACCAAAACUGCACUGCAGUCCUGGGCAUUUCGGGUGCUGGUGCUGGUACCACCCUGCUCUGGUAUCGGUACCAAGUGCAUUUCCUGCACCAACAGCAGCAGCUUGGCAGCAGCUUAUUCCGAAGCCGUUUUGCGCAUCCAAUUCAUUCUGAAACCUUCAAAUUCCCUCCAAUUACUAUCCCUAAGCUUCCAAAUUAAUUUGGAAAUACCACAAGUCACUUACAUUCCCUACUUUAAUCAAAUUGAUCAACAUAAAUCUUGUAGUCCGACAACUCCUUCUCAAUUUCAUUUCGCGCUCAACUUGCGCCGAAACACUUAAUUACCUCCGAAAUUCAUUCCCACGCAUCCGAAAUCACUCGGGAAUGAUGCCCAACUAGCUCAAGCUUCAGUUUGAUCCUCUAGAUCAAAGUUAGCAUCGCAACUCAAAGUUUCCACAUAUUACAUGGUUGGUGAGUUUUGGGGCUAAACCUACGGGUUGGUCAAGAGGAUUGGGUAUUGAUAAUGGCAAUUGGUAUACAUCAUAAGCAUCAUAUAUAUGUGGGUUUAUUAUUCUUGUUCAGGCAUAGUAACCGCAUUUUAUUAGAAAUGACUAUCUAUUUAUCUGUUCUCUUUUACUUAUGCCUGGUUAGACCUAGUGGGAAAGUCGGUGGGGUCGGCAGCCGAACCCACUAGGAACUUCUUGUAGUUCUCACCCCCACCAUCUUACAGAUCUGGGCCCGAGCGAGGCGGUUGAGAAUCGUGGCAAGGGCAUAGCGCCCUAGGUAGCGGACACUCGUACAUUAGUGGUACCCUUGUUUCAUCUUUUGGGCUAUGAUGAAAAGUGUAGUGUAAUGGAAAUGCAUAAAUGAUAUCAAUGGCACAUGUUUUUGAGAAAGGAUAUGUGAUGUACUUGGAAAACAAAAUGGAUGUAAAUUAUGAUAUGCUUGUAUUUGGUUAAAUAUAAUCAAGAUACAUGUGUGGAUGUAAUAGCAGUAGUACUUUUACUUGAUUGGUUGUUGCUUGCCCUCAUGCAGGCCAUGUAUAUCUGAAUUUUUGUUUGCGCAAAUUGUUAUACAUGUUGAUACUUGUGUUGAGUCUUGGGCAGACAGGAGAGGUGUUGUCCAUUCGGCAUCUAUGGACGUACCCGAACCGACCAAAUUGGCAAUUGCGGGGCGUGACAGUAGCGGCGGCUGGCUGGCCGGGGCUCGAUCGGUGGUGGUCGGAAGGCAUGCGGCGCACGAGGGUGAGGGAGGAGAGGCGGCUGGGGGUCAGAUGGAGCUAGGUUUAGGGUUUGCACCAUGCAAACCCUAGGUGGCCUUUAUACAUAGAUGUAUAAUUGCAUGUUAGUCCAUCGAAACUCAGUAUUUUUAGCUGAGUCCCUCACAGCGCGAGUAAAAUGCGUUGACACACCCCCAUAUUCGAUUUCACGCAAAACCGUAUGUAGGGCUUUUCGCAAAAUUUCCGUUUUGCAACUUAUGACCCCUCCUCGAUCCUCGCGCGAUAUCAGGAGAUCCGUCCAUCAGAUUUGCGAACGGACUACACCAGUACGUUCAGCACGACCAAAACAUCAUACCUACAAUUUUCGUUUGCCUGUUUUGGUCUCAUAUUCAUGAUGAAACCUAUCCUCUCUUCGAUUCAGCAAAAUCACACAUGUAUAAGAAAAUAUAUAUAUUCGAUAAUUGCCUCCAAAACCUCCAAUGAGAGAAAAUGCAGCCAAAGUCCCUCCCAACUAGUCUUCUCUCGCAGAAAGGUCCCCGCCCGAGGGUCCACAUGCAAAAUGGAGCAACGAGAAGUUUUAAAAAGCAAAGACGGUAAAGAACAAAAGUCUACUUUAUGAUAAAAUCCAAUUUUCUCGAGAACCGUUCGUCAAACCCAAAAUCUAUCAGUGCCAUUGGAUCCGGGAUAGUCGGAGCAUUGAAAAUGAGCUAUUGGAUCACCAUGAACGAAGUACGAUACACGCCAGAAGCCAUCUCUAAUCAUUGGCCUCUCCGAAAAACCCGGGUUACUAUUCACUUUAAGUGAAAAGUAUAGAAAACGUAAAAUCUGCAUUCUAACUCGUUUUCUCCCGAAACUUGACAAGUCCUUUUGUAAUUAAAAUACACAUAAAAAUAUCGUCAACAGAGAGUUUAGCUACUCUGCCAAAUUCUCAGUCUUUACAUCAUCCCCCCUUUAAAGAAAGUUUCAUUCCAGAAACUCGCUUACACACCCACCGAAAAUAGUUUUGGAUAUCACUUCACUAACGCACCAAGCACAGCGGUAGCGUGCAGAUAAACUCCUAAACUUGAGUACCAACACUCACCUCGGAUGCUACAACCUCCUACAAAUCCGAACUAUAAUUAAACAAAGCCAAACCUUAACCAUCGGAACCCUUCGAUGGCAUUCAACCUUCUUAGGUCCAAGACCUAACCUUCCGUCUAGACCAAAAGGUUGAAGGUUGCCACUACCAGUUGAGCCUGACAAUUUAGUCUGCUCUAAUGUAAUAUACCGAAAAUUCGAAAAAUAAAUGUCGAACUUUAGUCAAAUUGACCAACGUACGAGAUUGGUACACUUCGGAAAGUCCGAAGGCAUUAAAAUGAGUAAAAGUGCAUUGCGGGAGGUUUUCAAGAGCCAAAGAAUCAAAAAUCUGCAAACUGCAGUUUUUGGGCUCUCGGGGACCGGUCCCUGGUGGGAGAGACUGGUCCCCGAACGCGUGAGAAAUGAGAAAGAUGAAAAAUUGGCUAAGUCCCAAAAAAUCUGCUCUCGGGAACCGGUCCCUGUGGGAAGAGACCGGUCCCCGAGAGACCGGUCCCUCUGGGAGAGACCGGUUGCAUCGCGCGGGGGCCUUGGCUGCCGGCGGGGAGAGCUCUCUGGGACCGGUCCCUUGUCGGGGAGAUCGGUCCCCGAGCACGAAAACUGCCCAGUUCUGGCAGUUUAAUAAAGUGAAAGUUGAGGGGUUUAUUUGCAAUUAUGCAACCCAUAGAGCUAUGUAUGAGGGGUUAAGAGGUGUUUUCUCUCAUUCACACCCUCUCACACUCUCUCCUCUCUUUCUCUCUCUAGAAGACAAGAAGGAGAAGAAGAAGGAAAGAAAAAGAAAGGAAAGAAAGAGAAGAAGAAGGAGAAAAAGGUGGUGAAGAAGCUAAAGGAGUGAAGCAACUCCCCCAUCUUCUUCCCUAGCACAAAGAAAGGAAAGCUUUGAGGUAAGCUUUGAUCCCUUUCAUGGUAAAACCCUAGAAUGAGAACUAAAUGACCUAAGAAUGGUUUUGGUAGAACCUUUUGAGUGUUUGAAGCUUUCUUUUGCUUCUCUAAGAGAUUAAAACCCUAGUUUUGAUGUGGGAUGAGCUAGGGCACCCAAAUUUGGGGUUUUUGCUUGUGAGGGUUCCAAAGUGAAAUUGACCCUCUAGAAACCUAAUUUGGAGUAUUUCCGAAGCAUUGGCAUGCUCGGUUUAACGUUACGAAAAGCCUAUGCAAAGUUAUGAGCAAAGUGGCCUAAUAUGGCUUCGUUUUGCCGCAGGUGACGAACUAGGAGGCUAAAAAUUCCAAGAAAAUCACCGUAGCACCUAAGAAAGCCUACGAGGUGGGUGGUGCUCUCCAAACUUGUUGGAAUUCCCUUUAUGUCUAAUGUGUCACUUUUUGAGCAUACAUAUAUAAUUGUUGUAUGCAUAGUAGGGUAAUGAGAUUAUAAAUAUGUGAAUAUUUGCAUUUCGUGAGUUCAAGUGCAUCAUGAGAUUGUUGAGAACCUAUGAGAAUGUAAUAACCCUAUAUGUGCAUGUAAAAAGAGAUAUGAGUUUAGUGAAGUUAAAGAACAAGUGACAUAUGACAUGAGGACAAUGAAAUGUGAGAAUGAAAGCUAAAGAUAGUAUAAAGAUUGAUGUAAAGAACACUAGAGCUAGUGUGUGGCAUCAAAGAGAACAAAUGUGGUAUAAAGAAUGAUAAAAGCUAGAGUUAGCAAAUGUGUGGCAUUAAAGAAUGACAAUUGCUAGAGUUAGCAACAAAAUGUGGCAUAAAGAACAAUGGCUAGAGAUAGCAUUAAAUAUGGGGCAUAAAAGAAUGCUAGAGCUAAUACAUGACAUGAACGCUAGUAAAGAAUGUAAAGAAUACUAGAGUUAGUGUAAUGACAUAGUUGAAGAUAAAGAAUGCAAAGAACAUAAGAUUGACAUAAUGACAUUCAUCCUUAGAGCUAAGGGUCAUUUGUGCAUAAUUCCUUAGAGUUAAGGAACAGAUUGAACUGAACAUCCUUAGAGUUAAGGAUUGAUCAUACUCGCUAUAAGUCCUUGAUCGAGGGCGGUAGCUCCCCCUCGGGCGAUGCGCUCCGGAGUUUGUCAUCACUGGGUUGGUACUGUUCCCCAGAGGACGGUCCUAGCGAGAGGAAGCUGAGGGCCCGCGAUCAUGGAUUCUGAGUUCGUGAGUUAAUGAGGCGAUAUCCCCGGGUUAGCCUUGGGAUUGAACAAAGAAUAAAGAACAAAGAAUAAAGAAUAAAGAACAUAGACCAUGCAUUCUUCAUGAGUUAUAUUGAGCAUCAUUUUUUAUCGCAUUGUUCAGGCAUUAGUUGCAUUUAUAUAGUUGGCUACUUUUCAGCUUAUUCUUUCUAUGAUGCCUGAGUUAGACCUAAUGGGAAAGUCGGUGAGAUUGGGGCCGAACCCAAUGGAAACUUCAUUGUAGUUCUCACCCUACUAUUUACACAGAGCCAGAACCGAGCGAGCCGGCGAGCGACCGCGGUAAAGGUAUCGCGCCAUAGACAGUGACUACACGAGUCGGGUUUACAUUUUGUAGUAGUAUUCCCCUACUUCAUCUUUUGUAUUUGAUGAGUUGAGAUGUAAAAGAAAAAAGAAUGUAAUGUUUAUCUCGAGGAGAAUAUGAUGUAAAAAGAAAUGAUGAAAAGUAUGUAAAGAACUAUAAAUGUACAAGUUAAAUGCAAUAUAUGUGAUCAAAAGAGAAUCAUAGUAUUUGUGUAGAUGUUUAGCUUCCUUUCUUUCACUCAUGGCUAUUACUUACCCUUGCGUAAGCCGUUUGUGUAUGUUUCCGCUAGUGCUUUUCUCUACUCGAAAAUGUACAGGUGAUGAGCCUUUGGCGGACAGGGAAAACUCUGUCUGUUUGGCGUCUGUUUGACGUGCCCGGGCCGGCCCAAAUUGGUAUCGGUCCCGGGGCGUGACAGAUAUUGUGGUAUCAUAGCCUAAAGUGAAAGAAUAGGAAUGGACCUAGAGAUCCUUAGGAUUGGAAGACCUUAAGGAUCUAGGAAACGUGAGAGACGUGGAAUUAAGUUAGCGAAAGCAUAUAAUUGGGUCAAGUUGGGAUGUCUCUAAUGUGAUUAGAGGCUAGGUUUAAAUUGAUUUUUGUUCUCUACUUCUUGUGCUGUGUCGGGCGGCCGACGACAUAAUGCUUGGGGCAAGAACGAAUGCAUAAGAUGCUUUCGCCAAAUUGGGUAUGGCUAAGUAAUGUUGGUCAUGUAGCUAAUGCGAGUUGCUUCUUUUCAGGAAGCAAUGGCACCUCGUGGUCGACCGCAGACAAGGUCGAUGCUGGAGGAGCCGAGUGCGGCGCCCGAGCAAUCCGGAGCUAGUGGCGACGGUGAGCUUUGGGAGCAAAUGGCCGCGCUUAUCAGCAUAGUGUGGCAACAAGCGAAGUCUGUUCAACGCCAACGGGAGCAGAUCCAAAGGCUCUAGGAGGCCUUGGAGCGUCGGCAAGCAGCGGCGGCCCAGGCGGGUGGCGAGCAUGUCGUGCCCCCUGCGGUGGUGCCGAGCGUAGUUGAGGGAGCGGCGACAGCAACGGCUGUGCCAGUUACGGUAGUACCGGCCGGAUCGGGAACCUCAAAUCCCAAUAGUGCGGCAGUUAAGGCGGAGCGAGAGCGCGCGCUGGCGGCUCUUAUUCAAUUCCAGAAGUUCUACCCACCUAUCUUUGAGGGUGGAGUGGUGGAGCCGGUUGUAGUGGAGUCAUGGAUCGACUCGAUGGAAACGCUCUUCGAGGAUCUCAAUACCUCGGAGAAGGACAAUGUGUACCUCGCCACCCAUUGUCUCGAGAAGCCGGCGAAAGUGUGGUGGAAACGAGUUAAGCGGGAUCGACCUGCCGAUCUUCCGCUUAUGUUGUGGAAGGAGUUCAAGAGAGCGGUAUUCGCGAACUACUUCCCCGAUACGGCGAAGCGGAGACUACAAGAGAAGUUCUGCAAGUUGAGACAGGGUGAUCGAUCGGUGGGGGAAUAUGAGCAAGAGUUCUCUCACAUUAUCGACUGCGUUCCCAAUGUUGUUCGAGAUGACCGGGACCGGGCUGAUUGGUUCUUACGAGGACAUCAGCCGAGAUAUACAAGAAGGUGCAGUCUUAAAGUUGACGACCUUUGCGGAGGUCUUUGAUCGAGCCUUAUGGGCGGAGCAUGGUAGCGCCCACGUUCGAGAGGAACGGGAGGCUAUGGCCGAAAGCAAGGACAAAGGCAAGAAGAAAAUGGCGGGCGGUGCCGGGGGCCGGCCAAAUGCUAAGAAACCCCCUCGGCCCCGACAGCAGUCGAGGAACUGGAGACCACCUCGGUGCGUCAUUUGUGGCGAAGAGCACCGAGUGUCGGCUUGCCCGUAGCGAGACGACAAAUGUUUCAAGUGUGGCCAACCGGGACAUCUUAUCCGGGAGUGCCCGAACUGGACGUCGUCUGCGCCGACGGCGGCAUCAGCACCGACUACCCCGAGACAGCUUGCGGGGUUGCCACCAGUGAUGUCGGCUAGGCGCGCGUCAUCACCGCGUCAGCCAGAGGGGUCGAGAGCGCCUAGCGGUCGAGUCUUUGCCGCUCAGGUGGAGGAGCAGCCUGCAGCACCCAACGAUGUCGUGGCAGGUAUAAUUGAUUAAAGGCACUAGAGCUAGAGCUUUAUUUGAUACAGGCGCAUCUCAUUCAUUCAUUAGCGCAUUAUUUGCUCGAACUCAUGGCAUAGAGAUGGCAUACAACGAUGACUAUUGGUGGGUCAAUGCGCCGGAACAUUCGUUCAGAGUGCACGAGGAGUGUUUGGCUUGUCAAGUGCAAAUAGGCGAUUGGAUUAUGCCGAUAGUCUGCUAGUGCUAGAUCAGAUGUGGGGAUUCAAUGUUAUCUUGGGGACCAACUGGCUCUCCAAGUACUAUGCAGUUAUAGAUUGUGAAAGUAAGGUGAUCACUUUUCGUGAGCCUAAUCAAGAAGAAUUGGUAUACCAAGCGUACAAAAGUAAGCGCUUCGCGGCGACCAUAUCGUCGGUAAGGGCGAAGAAAAUGAUCAAAUGAGGGUGUAAGGCCUAUUUGGCAACCAUGGUAGACCCUCAGAAAGAGUACUCGGAGUUAGGGAAUAUUCGGGUAGUGUGCGAGUACCCGAAUGUGUUUCCGGCAGAGUUACCAGGAUUGCCACCUGACCGGAAAGUUGAGUUCGUCAUUAACUUGAUUCUCGGGGCGGUGCCAGUUUCGAAGGCUCCGUAUAGAAUGGCACCGGUGGAGUUAGUGGAGCUAAAAGCCCAAUUGCAAGACUUGCUCGAUAAAGGCUUCGCGAGGCCGAGUGUGUCACCGUGGGGAGCUCCGGUGCUGUUUGUGAAGAAAAAGGACGGCACACUUCGACUCUGCGUAGAUUAUCACGAGUUGAACAAAAUGACGAUAAAGAACAAGUACCCGUUGCCAAGGAUUGACGAUUUGUUCAAUCAGUUGCAAGGGUCCAAGGUGUAUUCGAAGAUUGAUCUCCAGUCGGGGUAUCAUAAAUUAAAAAUUAGGCCGAAGGAUGUGCACAAAAUGGCGUACCGUACGCGGUAUGGCCAUUAUGAAUUCACGGUAAUGCCGUUUGGGCUUACUAAUGCCCCGGCAGCAUUUAUGGACUUGACGAAUCAAGUCUUCAGGCCGUUGUUGGAUUGAUGCGUCGUGGUGUUUAUAGACGACGUAUUGGUUUACUCAAAGAGUGAAGAGGAGCACAAAGAGCAUCUGAGAGCUGUGCUGCAAAUACUCGGACAGGAGAAGCUCUAUGCUAAGUUGAAGAAAUGUGAGUUCUGGUUGAAGGAGGUCACAUUCUUAGGUCAUGUGGUAUCGGGCGGCGGGGUGUCAGUAGACUCGAAAAAUGUUGAGGCAAUAAAGGAUUGGCCUCGACCGACAAGUAUAGCGGAGGUACGCAGUUUUCUCGGACUUGCGGGCUAUUACCGACGGUUCGUGGAGGGGUUCGCUAAAAUAACUACUCCACUAACGCGCCUUACUCACAAAGGAGUAAAGUAUGUCUGGGGCGAUGAUUGCGAUCGGAGCUUUGAGGAGUUAAAGAACAGGUUGACAUCGACCCCAGUGCUUGCCUUGCCGACUCCGGGGGAGACCUUUGUAGUAUACAGUGACGCCUCAUAUAUUGGUAUCGGGUGUGUGUUAAUGCAAAAUGGGCGAGUCAUUGCAUAUGCAUCGUGCCAAUUCAAGAGUUAUGAGAAAAACUACCCGAUUCAUGAUCUCGAGUUAGGCGCGGUGAUCUUCGCGCUAAAGCUUUGGAGGCAUUACUUAUAUGGUGAGUAUUGUGAGGUCUACACAGAUCACAAGAGUCUCAAGUACUUGUUCACCCAGAAAGAGUUGAACAUGCGACAGCGGCGGUGGUUAGAGUUGCUAAAGGACUAUGAUAUCACUAUACUAUACCACCCGAAAAAAGCCAAUGUCGUGGCCGAUGCUCUAAGUAGAAAAUCGGCAGAGAACUUAGCGAUGGCAAUUACGCCUCAACCGCUAUUGCAUAAGGAAAUGCAACGACUUGGGUUGGAAGUGGUAGCGCCGGGAGUGCCGGCUAUACUCGCCACAUUAGUUGUGCAACCGACCCUUUUGGAAAGGAUCAAGGAACUACAAGCUUUGGAUCUUUAUCUUCAAAAGGUAUGAGGUGAAGUUGAGAAUGGUAUUGCCAAGGAUUUUGGCAUUGGAGCCGAUGGCGCACUUCGAUUCCGAAAUCGAUGGUGUGUGCCUAAGGAUAAUCACAUUCGAAGGGCGAUCAUGCGAGAGGCGCAUCAAUCUCCCUAUAGUAUACACCCCGGCGGUACUAAAAUGUACAAGGACCUAAAAGUAUAUUAUUGGUGGCCAGGCAUGAAAAGAGAUAUUGGGGAGUUCGUGGCGCAAUGUCUAACGUGCCAACAGGUGAAAGCAGAGUGCCGGUUUCCGGCGAAAAAGUACAAAGUCUAUCAAUACCUGUUUGGAAAUAGGAAGAUAUAGCGAUGGACUUUAUUACCGGUUUGCCUUGAUCGCAAGGUGGACACGAUGCGAUAUGGGUGAUAGUGGAUCGACUGACGAAGUCGGCCAUUUCUUGUCCAUUCACACUACGUGGUCGGGAGACAAGCUAGCUCAAGUGUAUCUCGACGAGGUUGUGAGACUUCAUGGGAUUCCGGUGUCAAUUGUAUCGGAUCGAGACCCCAGGUUCACAUCCUACUUUUGGAACAGCCUGCAGGACGCGCUAGGCACACGGCUUGACUUUAGCACAGCGUUUCAUCCUCAGAGUGAUGGUCAGUCGAAGCGGACGAUACAAAUCCUUGAGGACUUGCUUCGAGCGUGUGUACUAGAUUACAAAGGAGGAUGGUAUGAUUUCUUGCCAAUGGCGGAGUUCGCGUAUAAUAACAGUUAUCAAGAAAGCAUCGCGAUGGCGCCACUUGAGGCAUUGUAUGGACGAAAGUGUCGUUCUCCUAUUCAUUGGAAUGACGUGGGCAAGAGAACGGCUCUUGGCCCGGAUGUAGUGCGGGAAGCGGAGGAGAAAGUCCGCCUUGCCCGUCAACAGUUAGCGACGGCGCAAUCAAGGCAGAAAAGCUUUGUCGACAAGCGAAGAAAGGACUUAGAGUUCGCGGUUGGAGACCGCGUAUUUUUAAAAGUGUCACCAAUGCGAGGAGUCCAGCAUUUUGGGGUCCGCGGAAAGUUAAGUCCCCGCUAUGUUGGACCAUUUGAGAUACUAGAGCGUGUGGAUGCGGUAGCGUACAAGCUCGCACUACCACCUAGACUCGCGGGAGUUCACAACGUGUUUCAUGUGUCAAAUCUCUGAAAGUAUAUUCGUAAUUCGACACAUGUGUUAGAGUAUGAGCUCGUGGAGUUACAUAAGGAUAUGUCUUAUGAGGAGUACCCGAUGUGCAUCCUCGAUAGAGAAGAAAGAAAGCUGCGGAGUCGCAGAAUUCCUUAUGUAAAGGUUCAAUGGAGCAACCAUGCUGUGCGAGAAGCCACUUGGGAGCUUGAGGAGUCGAUGCGGAAAGAGUACCCGCAUUUGUUUGAGUCGACGAGUUAAGAUAUGUGUAAUUUCGCGGACGAAAUUAUUUUAAGGGGUGGAGAAUGUAAUAUACCAAAAAUUCGGAAAAUAAAUGUCGAACUUUAGUCAAAUUGACCAAAGUACGAGGUUGGUACAAUUCGGAAAGUCUGAAGGCGUUAAAAUGAGUAAAAGUGCAUUGCGGGAGGUUUUCGAGAGCUAAAGAAUCAAAAAUCUGUAAACUGCAGUUUUUGGGCUCUCGGGGACCGGUCCCUUGUGGGACAGACCGGUCUCCGAACGCGUGAGAAAUGAGAAAGCUGGAAAAUCGGCUGUCCCAGAAAACCUGCUCUCGGGAACCGGUCCCUGCGGGGAGAGACCGGUCCCCGAGAGGCCGGUCCCUCUGGGAGAGACCGGUUGCAUCGCGCUGGGGCCCUAGCUGCCCGCGGGGAGAGCUCUCUAGGACCGGUCCUUUGUCGGGGAGACCGGUCUCCGAGCACGAAAACUGCCCAGUUCUAGCAGUUUAAUAAAGUGAAAGUUGAGGGGUUUAUUUGCAAUUAUGCAAUUCAUAGAGCUAUGUAUGAGGGGUUAAGAGGUGUUUUCUCUCAUUCACACCCUUUCACACUCUUUCCUCUCUUUCUCUCUCUAGAAGACAAGAAGGAGAAGAAGAAGAAAAGAAAAAGGAAGGAAAGAAAGAGAAGAAGAAGGAGAAAAAGAUGGUGAAGAAGCUAAAGGAGUGAAGCAACUCCCUCAUCUUCUUCCCUAGCACAAAGAAAGGAAAGCUUUGAGGUAAGCUUUGAUCCCUUUCAUGGUAAAACCCUAGAAUGAGAACCAAAUGACCUAGGAAUGGUUUUGGUAGAACCUUUUGAGUGUUUGAAGCUUUUUUUUGCUUCUCUAAGAGAUCAAAACCCUAGUUUUGAUAUGGGAUGAGCUAGGGCACCCAAAUUUGGGACUUUUGCUUAUGAGGGUUUCAAAGUGAAAUUGACCCUCUAGAAACCUAAUUGGGGGUAUUUGCAAAGCGUUGGUGCGCUCGGUUUAACGUUACGAAAAGCCUAUGCAAAGUUAUGAGCAAAAUGGCCUGAUAUGGCUUCGUUUUACCGCAGGUGACGAACUAGGAGGCUAAAAAUCUCAAGAAAAUAACCGUAGCACCUAAGAAAACCUACGAGGUGGGUGGUGCUCUCCAAGCUUGUUGGAAUUCCCUUUUUACGUCUAAUGUGUCACUUCUUGAGCAUACAUAUAUAAUUGUUGCAUGCAUAGUAGGGUAAUGAGAUUAUAAAUAUGUGAAUGCUUGCAUUUUGUAAGUUCAAGUGCAUCAUGAGAUGGUUGGGAACCUAUCUGUCACGCCCCGCGACCAACCGCCUAUUUGGACAGGGUCGCGGCGCCGACGACAGACCGCCGAACGGACCGGGGAUUCCUUUGUACGCGGACAGAGUCUCCCCAAUACGUCCAAGGCGUCGCAAUCCAAACAAUCAACGAAUGUUCCAACUAGGAACGGAUAUCAAUCCAGAUUGCAUAAGGAAGUAUCAAAUACAUAAUCUACUUGCUAUUACAAUCAUUAAUUUUACAAUCACUUUUUACAUCACAGUUUCUGUUUACAUUUUUACUUCCAAAUUACAAUCUCGCUAUUACAUCAGAGUUAUCAAGUUUGAUACAUUUUCUUUUCUUGUCUUCUAGACCCCUAAGCUAGACUGUCUCAGGGUACUGCUACCUCGGUCUCUGUGGUGGGGCGCUAUCUACUGAGCUACGCCCUCGCCUCGCGCCGCCGCGCCACACACGAACAACCUGAAAACACCCCAAAACCACGUGGGGUGAGAACCAACACCAUGGUUCCCAGUGGGUACGGCCACCCAAGGGAAAAGCUCGACCGAUAGGUCCGAGGAGGCACUGCAACAUGUUAGUUCAACAAUAUAAACAGAUAUAUAUAUUCAAUUGAAAUACAUGCCAUGCCUCACGAUAUGCGAUAUGAAAAUCAUGCAACAACUAGUAGAUCAUUUGAAUUCUACUUUUACUUGGCUACUUUAGCUCAUAACUUUACUCUAUGGUUUCUAUUACCUUAGGAUCACAACACUAACCACUGGCUUCUAAGGUUUCUAUUACCUUAGCUCAAGCCUCUAUCUCUAGCUCAUAAGGGUUCCUCUACCCUAUCAUAGCUAACCACCCGACUCGGUUUCGAGUCAAUCAAUCGCGGAUAGUCCGUGCACUAUCUAGCUCGAGGUGAAGGAACUCUCACAUGCACCUCAGCUGGCAACAGCUCACCGUACUCCUGUCCUAGCCGUCUGGCGGCGAACGAAUCGCACCUCACCCAACAACGGCCUAGGUCCAUGACUUAGCCACCCGGCGGCGAAAUCGUCGCACAAAUGUCACGACAGUGGUUCAAUCAACAAGCGGUAGGAUCCACAAACUGGCUAACCAUCCGGCGGCGAAAUCGUCGCACACGCCACGACAAUGGUUCUUUAGCCCUUGGGCGGCGAAAUCGUCGCACACACCCGACACCACUUUGGGUGUAUCUUUUUAGCCUUGGGAUUCCGGAAUCCAUUUCACAUCACAUUGGGGUUGGUCUUAACCCUAUGGAAUUGACCUCUCUAGGUCUAAGCUUUUACUCAACCUAAGCUCACCCCUUAGGUUUAUUGCUUUCACAUUCUUAACCUAAGUUUAUUACACUAGGAUCAUUAUUCUUUCCAACCUAAGUUCACUUGACUCUAGGUUAAGUACCUUUCAUUUCACGACCUAUGUUUAUUAACACUAUGUUAGAUGCCACUCGAUCUAAUUCACAUACUAAUUGUCCAAUCAAGCAUUCUACUCAUUCUAGAGUUAUCAAUUCUCAUUUUUCAAUGUUAUCUCUCUAAUCAAGCUAGAGUUAUCAACCAAGUUCAUAUGCAUAUAUAAUCUCACUUUAACUUAAUGUCAUCAACAUGCAUUUCAUUCUAUGCAUUAUGCUUACAUGCAUUCACAUAAUUAUCUACCAUUAUUCAACUUGCUCAUAAUGCAUUCUAUUUAGCAUUUACAUCAUACUAUCAAUAUGCAUUAUUUAGCUACAUGCAUCAUUUACGUGCUUCAUUUACAUUUAUAUGCAUCAACAUGGAUUCUUAGUUUCUUAGACAUAAAGGGCGACCUAGUCGCUUCGGUAAGCACAACCCACCUUAAUUUGCGUUCCGAUUGCUUGUUGACACUUGCAAUCGGCCUCCCGCGGCACCCUUAUCCGGCACGGCCCGAUACUGCAACUGCGCCUCAACCGUGCUCCGCUUCGCAGCCCCGAAAAUUAUAGGUCUUCGGUUAUAUGCCACGAUGCCUCAAAUCCAUUUCCAUGAUUUUACGACGUCGCCUCGGCCCUCCAGGCGGAAACGAAACCUAAACGUCUGUUUCUUUAAUAACUUCGCGUAGGCUCGACGAAUCGCCGAACCGACUUCGCCAACGCGUUCGUUUACCUAGCAAUUAGGUUUAUACAUGAUCAAUUUAGAUCAAAACCCCUCACAAGUAAAAACCCCUCUUUUGAUGCCCUAAGAUGCAACUAUGCAAGAAUUCAUCAUUUUAUCUCAAAAUUCGAGCAUCAACCAUCUAUUUAGCAUCUAGGAGUUUCACUAAACCCAUUUCUAAGGCAUACAAAUCGUUACUUAGCAAUCUACCAUUAUUACUAACAAAGCUUACCUCUCAAACCCAUGCUCUCUUCAAGCCAAUGGUGAAGAAAAGGAAAGCUUUACCUUUAAGUAAGCUUUUCUCUACCAACUCCACACUUUGGAGCCAAUCCUAAAGAGAGAGAGAGAGAGGUUUCUCUUAUGUUGGCUCAAAUGGAGAGGAAUGAGGGAAAUGACAUAACACCCUUAUAUAUAUAUAGGAGGAAACUUCACCUCCAAGUAAACUCCCCCAAAACACUAUUCACUCCAGGCAGUUCGAAAUCUGAUAUCUUUCGCCGGAACUCCCUGAACAUCCGUUUGAGCUCAAAUUUGACAGUCAUGUUCGGUCUCACUUAACGAGUCCAAAGAAAUUUUAAUAUUUCAGUUUCGACCCCGUUUGGUCACCGAAAGCUGUACCGAACUAUAAUCUUUAUCAGAUAGCUUUCGGAUUCUAGUUUUCACCUUCCGGGUGUCAGAAUGGCAUGGAACUUUAAAUCUAGCAUCAUAAAAAUAUUUAUGACAUCUUCGCUAAUUUUCAUAAUUUUCUGACACUGUGCAUUUUCUGCUAAUUUAUCUGCCCUGUUUCUUACAGAAAAUUCUAAAUCUUCUGUUGUCGCUCCGAUUUCAGCACAGGUCAUUCCCAACUUAUAUUUCACUUCUCUAAAUCCAAUAAAAAUAGUAUCUCAUACUAUUUUUAUUUAUUUUCACUUUUAUAUUUAAAAUCCGGUAUGUUACAUUCCGCCGCAACCUCACCGGAGCCAUUUAAAUGUACACGGUAACUUCAUAGUUUUAGAAGUCCGGUACCUUACACUAUGAGAAUGUAAUAACCCUAUAUGUGCAUGUAAAAAGAGAUAUUAGUUUAGUGAAGUUAAAGAACAAGUGACAUAUGACACGAGGAAAAUGAAAUGUGAGAAUGCAAGCUAAAGAUCGCAUAAAGAUUGAUGUAAAGAACACUAGAGCUAGUGUGUGGCAUCAAAGAGAACAAAUGUGAUAUAAAGAAUGAUAAAACUAGAGUUAGCAAUGUGUGGCAUUAAAGAAUGACAAUUACUAGAGUUAGCAACAAAAUGUGGCAUAAAGAACAAUGGCUAGAGAUAGCAUUAAAUAUGGGGCAUAAAAGAAUGCUAGAGCUAAUGCAUGACAUAAACGAUAGUAAAGAAUGUAAAGAACACUAGACUUAGUGUAAUGACAUGGUCGAAGAUAAAGAAUGCAAAGAACAUGAGAUUGACACAAUGACAUUCAACCUUAGAGCUAAGGGUCAUUUGUGCAUAAUUCCUUAGAGUUAAGGAACAGAUUGAACUGAACAUCCUUAGAGUUAAGGAUUGAUCAUACUCGCUAUAAGUCCUUGCUCGAGGGCGGUAGCUCCCCCUCGGGCGAUAAGCUUCGGAGUUUGUCAUCACUGGAUUGGUGCUGUUCCCCAGAGAACGGUCCUAGCGGGAGGAAGCUAAGGGCCCGCGAUCAUAGAUUCUGAGUUCGUGAGUUAAUGAGGCGAUACCCCGGGGUUAGCCUUGGGAUUGAACAAAGAAUAAAGAACAAAGAAUAUAGACCAUGCAUUCUUCAUGAGUUAUAUUGAGCAUCAUUUUUUAUCGCAUUGUUCAGGCAUAUUAGUUGCUUAAAUUUAACUAUUUAAAUUUUCAGCAAAUGAAACUGUACAUUCAGUUUCCAAAUAAUAGCUAAUUACCAACAAAGCUACUAAAAUUAGCAAUAAUCCCAUUUUAAAUGAGUAGAAUGAAGUAAUUUGAUAUUGAUAGAUUACUAACUGUUGAUGCCAAAAUUAAAAUUAGGCAGGAACGGUUGAGAAGUGGGAUGUAACUUCCACGAUCAUGGCUACACCACUCCCCCCACUACUAAAAACUGACCAAUAAUGUGGGCUGAGAAGACAUCACUAUAAAUAGUAAUUUUGAAGCCUGCAAUAGAGGUCUUUUCCCCGUGAACAGAAGACCACCUUUAUUUCCUCUACAAUUUCUUCGCAUUUUCUAGGAGUAGUCUACUUGUAAUCUUUUACUUUCUCGCACUUACCGUUUUACCUAGGAGUAGAGUUAAGUUAGAUCAACCGAGUCUGUAUGUCCUCAGGCACACUCGACCUUUGUACUGUUCUUGCAAGCUAAUUCUAAUAUAUCAAGGCAUUCGGCUCAUCAGCCGACCUGAAAUCCUUUGUUUUCUAUACAUUUGGCUCAUCCAGCCAGCCGAACCUAUUCUGUAAUAGAAGAUUCCCAACUCGGCUGAUCCGAUCCUUCAUCAGCCGAAUCACUUGAUCCAGUCGAAGGGCACAAACUUCGAGGGUCACUAAUCGUAGCCGUUUCGCAUCUCGACGCGCUUUUCGAGGAAGAUCUUUGACCGGGCCAAAGAAGAGGGAAUUCGGCACCUAAUAAUUUUGGCAUGCCCAGUGGGACACACUUAGGUUUUCCCAAUCUAGAUUUUGUCCUAUGGCUGACGAUAAUGCUAUGAACCUCCGGAAUAGAGUCAUUCCCAGGCCUUCAAGGAAUAACCAAGCUAGUAGCGCCGAAAAUGCGAAUGAGAAUCAGGCGGUACUACCUAUUGGAGGAGAGAUUAGUGAAUAGUCGGCUCAUCAAGAGUCGAGUCUAACUCAGGUACUCAACCAGAUGACCCGAGUCCUGCAAACUGUAGAUCAAAAUAUCCAUCAAAGUACCGCUCAACUAGACACGGUGCUGGCUGCUAUCACGGCCUACAAUAAAAAUAUUGUUCGAAUCAGACAGUUAUUUACCCAAAACGAGCAACCUUACGGGGGCAACAGGGCCCCUAAAUGUGUUGGUGCAACAAAAUCCCGUCACGUCGGUGGUCUCAUAGGCACAACCGCAAAUAGCACCUUUCCAGGCUUCUUAUAGGCCGGCGAAUAUAAACGCCAGCCCACAGUCGAAGAUUGCAUCGGGUUUACCUCCUUUACCAGCUUACCAGCCCCAAAACGUGGGCGUAAGGGCUGGAGGCCAAGGCUCCAACAGGUUGUAGGAACUAAACUCUGUAAUGCAAAAUUACGGACCGCCUUCAGGGCCGAAUGUGGUUCCGGCCCCGGUUUCUGCUUCGGCAGCAAGAAAUAAUGAGUUAUACGCUCAAAUAGGAGAGGUGAUUCGAAACACAUUUGAUAUAGGGGCGAGGUCGGCAGUGCGGCUUGUAUUUAGAUCCCCAUAUCUCGUGAACAUCGACGCAGAGAAUCUGUAUUCGGCAAACUGAAAAAUGCCGAAGUUCAACAAGUUCUCGAGCGAUGAGACCGAGAAUACGGUUGAGCAUGUAGCCCGGUUCACAGCCCAAUGUAGAGAAGCGAGCGCUGACACAUUUUUGAAACUUUGAUUAUUUAACACGUCGUUAACUAAAACGGCGUUUACUUGAUAUGCAAGUUUACAAGCCAAUUUCGUCCGAGAUUGGGAUGAAUUGGAAAGAAAAUUUUAUGAGCAAUUAUAUAGGUCGGAGCCACAAUUAUCAGUUGCCGACUUGGCUUUAUACCGACAAAAGUCAGGUGAAACGGUCGAAGAGUGUAACGCCCCAAAAUUUGACUAUAAAUAUUUAAAAAGAUUCCAAAAUGAUUUUGAGGGUUAUAGCCAGUUUUAUAUGAUUUGAACUCAAUUGAGUCUAAUCUGUCAUUGCACCAACAACCACUUUGGGAAAACUUUUAACCAUGUUAUCGACAUCCGAUUCAGGCGAAAUUGGUCUCGUUGGAAAGAUCAUCGAGUCAUCUUUCUAACGCAACCUGAACCAUGUCUGCCGCGAACGAACCGGCGCCGCCGUAGGUAUUUUUAAGGCAAGUGGUCAUUCAUGGUAGAGAUCAAAUUUGUUUAAAUUUUAUUUUAAAAUUAGGAUUAUAGGUUCAUGGCUUCCAACAGACUCAAGAAUCUGUUAUUAAUUACCCCACACUUUCAGUGUUAGGGAACCCUCGAUUAAGAGACUGAAUAUAAAUGCUGAUAAUAAAAGAGACCGAACAGACAAAUAAGAUUUUAUUAAUAUGAUUUGUCGUGUACAUGGCUUAAGCAAGGGCAUUCCCCCACUUUACAUAGAUUUCAUAAAAUUAAAUACUCAGUUUAUAGACUUGAUGGUCAUGUCUGAACUUGAUUUGCCCGGUUUAGCGACUUGGCGGUCGAUUGAAGUUGAGAUGCUCAGUUUAGCGGCAUGGCGGUCGAUUUUAAAUUGAGUUGCUCAGUUUAAUGAUAUGGCGGUCGGUUUGAAUUUUGAUGAUCAGUUUAAUGACAUGGCGGUCGGUUGAAGUUGAGAUGCUCAAUUUAGUGACAUGGCGGUUGAUUUGAAUUAUAGUGCUCAGUUUAAUGAUAUGGCGGUCGAAUAUUCAGUUUAAUGACUUAAUAGUCAUUCGUUCAGUUUAACGACUUGACGGUCACAUCUGAACAUGAUUUGCUCGGUUUAGCGACUUGGCGGUCGAUUGAAAUUGAAGUGCUCAGUUUAGCGACAUAGCGGUCGAUUUUAGAUUGAGUUGCUCAGUUUAAUGAUAUGGCGGUUGGCUUGAGUUUUGAUGCUCAGUUUAAUGACAUGGCGGUCGAUUUAAGUUUUGGUGCUCAGUUUAAUGACAUGAUUGUCGAGGGGGUUUGAUUUGAUUGUUCAGUUUAACGACUUGGCGGUCAAAAGUUCAGUUUGAAUGACUUAAUAGUCACUUGUUCAGUUUAACGACUUGACGGUCAUAUAUGAACUUAAUUUGCUCUGUUUAGCGACUUAGCGGUCGAUUUUAAAUUGAAUUGCUCAGUUUAGAGACAUGGCAGUCGAUUGAAGUUGAGGUGCUCAGUUUAGCGACAUGGCGGUCGAUUGUUCAGUUUAACGACUUGAUAGUCAUUUGUUCAGUUUAACGACUUGACGGUCGUUUCUGAACUUGACUUGCUCAGUUUAGUGACUUGGCGGUCGAAAGGGUUUGGUUUGAUUGCUCAGUUUAACGACUUGGCGGUCGAAAGGGUUUGGUUUGAUUGCUCAGUUUAACAACUUGGCGGUCAAAAGUUAAGUUUGAAUGACUUAAUAGUCACUUGUUCAGUUUAACGACUUGACGGUCAUAUCUGAACUUGAUUUGCUCAAUUUAGCAACUUAGCGGUCGAUUUUAAAUUGAAUUGCUCAGUUUAGCGACAUGGCGGUCGAUUGUUCAGUUUAACGACUUGAUGGUCAUUUGUUUAGUUUAACGACUUGACGAUCGUUUUUGAACUUGAUUUGCUCAGUUUAGCGACUUAGCGGUCGAAAGGGUUUGGUUUGAUUGCUCAGUUUACGACUUAGCAGUCAACUUGAGAUGCUCAUGAAACUGAUUCGUGAAAUUAAUUCAUGCUAAGAGCCCGUUUGUAAAGUCCAUUAAAUUAAUUGAUGAAAUUAAUUCAUGAUAGGGGACCAAUUGGAGAGCCCAUUGAAUUGGGUUUUAUAAAAUUAAUUUAUGAUAAGGAGUCAUUUGGAAGGCUUAUUAGUUCAUGAAAUUAAUCUAUGACAAGGAGGGCCUAUGAAAUUAAUUCAUCGAAUUAAUUCGUGAUAGGGGGCCUAUUUGGCAAACCCAUAAAAUUAAUUUGUAGAAUUAAUUCAUGAUAAGGGAUUCAAUUGGAAAGCCCAAGGAAUUAAUUCGUAGAAUUAAUUUAUGAUAAGGGGCCCAUUUGGAAAGUCUGUAAAAUUAAUUCAUGAUAAGGGGGCCUAUUUUGCAAACCCAUGAAAUUAAUUCGUAAAAUUAAUUUAUGAUAAGGGGUCAUUUAGAAAGCCCAGAAAAUUAAUUCAUAGAAUUAAUUCAUAAUAAAUGGCCCAUUUGGAAAGCCCAUAAAUUCGGUUUGGGUUGGAGGUAUUUGGAUGAUAUAGGUUUGGUAGAUUUGGUUGGAUUUUAUUUGUGAACUUUGGAUUUGGAUCUUUAUUUGUGGACUUUCGGUUUUGGAUCUUUAUUUGUAGACUUUGGGUUUUGGAUCUUUAUUGGUGGACUUUGUGGACUUUGGGUUUUGGGUCUUGUUUAUAGGUUUGGGGUUUUGGGUUGAGGAAUUUAUUCAUAUGGUUUUUUUUUUUUUUUUUUUUUUUUUUUUUUUUUUUUGUCUUGGUUUUGGAUCUAAAUCUGCAUAUGGGUUGAGGUUGGUUUCGGGCUGUACAUGUUCUGGGCCUUGGACCCGAAUCUGCAUGUGGACUUGGAUUGGUUUUGGACUUUAUAUAUUCUGGGCCUUGGACCCGAAUCAGCAUAUGGACUGAAAUUGGUCUUGGACUUUACAUGUUCUGGGCCUUGGACCCGAAUCAGCAUGUGGACUAAAAUUGGUCUUGGACUUUACAUGUUCUCGGCCUUGGACCCGAAUCAGUGUGUGGACUAAAAUUGGUCUUGGACUUUACAUGUUCUGGGCCUUGGACCCGAAUCAGCAUGUAGACUAAAAUUGGUCUUGGACUUUACAUGUUCUGGGCCUUGGACCCGAAUUAGUGUGUGGACUGAAAUUGGUCUUAGACUUUACAUGUUCUGGGCCUUGGACUCGAAUCUGCAUGUGGGCUUUAUUAUUUCUUUUUUUUAACUGUUUAUGGAAUUUAUUCAUUGAGCCCACAAGUAAAUGAUGGAUUGAACCAUUUUCAAAUUAAAUAACUCAAAUUCAUUUCAUCAAAUUUUCUUGUUCCAUUUUUUUUGUUCUUCUUCUUUUUUUUUUUUUGACUAAGAGAAGGAACAACUCUUCUUUUUUUUUUCUGUUUUUUUUUUUUUUUUUUUUUUUUUCUUUUUUUUUUCUUUCUCUUUCUUCUUUUUGGUUCUUUUUUUCUUUUUUUCUUUUUUUCUUUUGUUGACUGCCAGAGGGAAUCUCUCUCUCUCUCUCUCUCUCUCUCUCUCUCUCUCUCUAUACGAAACCGAGAGAAGGGGUGCCCUCCUUUUCUUUCUUUUCUUUUUUUUUUUUGCUGUUUUUUUUUUGUGCUUAUUCAUUUUUUUUUGUCCGAAGUACGAAAUUUUGUCUCUCUUUUUUUAAAAAAAUAUACGAAAUUGAUCACAUUGAGAAAUACGAUCAAAUCGAAUGAAGAUGGCGAAUCCAAAGAGAACCCUUCCAUUUUUUUAUUAUCAUUUUUUUUUUGUCGUUCAAGUACGCAGGAUUUAAUCGUGUCGAGCCUAUCAUGAAGUUGGCCACUCGAUUAAUUCUUUCGACCAUGUCGAGCUUAUCGCGAAGAUGGCCACACGGUUUACGUAGCGAAAUAAACGGUGCUCGAUCACCCAUUUUGACCAUGUCGAGCCUAUCGCGAAGAUGGCCGGACGGUUUACAUAGCAAAAUAAACAGUGCUCGAUCACCCAUUUUGACCUUGUCGAGCCUAUCGUGAAGAUGGCUGCACGUUUUACGUAGUAAAAUAUCCGGUUCGAUCAAUCAUUUUGACCAUGUCGAGCCUAUCACGAAAAUGGCCGCACGGUUUAGAGAUUAGCGAUGCAUACGCGUGACGGAAGCAACAAUUUAAUGUCAAAUUUGAUCGGUUCGAUAUCACGAAGAUGGUCGGGUUGAUCAGAUUGACAAAAAAAGCACUUACGCUAUGCGUAUGCAUGCAUAUCUCCUAUUGUUGUAGAAGUCGUCGUAAUUGUUGUUGUCGAAGUUGUAGCCGAGUUCAAGAGCAAAAUUCCUUCUUUUUUUCCUUUUUUUUUUGUUGCCGUGUACGGACAGAGGAGGGGGUGCACAUGGUGCCCCCUCUGCCAGCAAGCCCAAGGCUACACAAGGGGGAGAGAGAGAGAGAUAGAGAGGAGAGUAUAUAAAAAAAAAAUUUCGCCUUUUUCUUUCUUUUUCUUCUUCUUUCUGUUCUUCUUUUUUUUCUUUUUUUUUUCUUUUUCUUCUUUUUCGGUUCUCCCCUUUCUUCCUUCCUCUAAAAAAAAAUUCUCUCUAGAUCCCUUUUUCGAAAUUUGGACCUUAUUUUAUAUAGGAUUCAAAGAUGAUUCCCAUUUGGGAAUAAUUUUAAAAAAAUCAGCUUAUUGAGGAAACAAAUCUCAAUCAACUAAUUAUACCUCUUUUGUUUUAUUUUGAAUACUUUCCUUCUUUUUCUUUUGAAUCUUUCCUUUUCCUAUUUCCUUCCUUCUAUAUUUUCAAUUUGAAUUUUGAACUUUUUUUUCUCAAACAAACCACCUUAAACGGAUAUCGGACGAAAGAGUUAUUGCAAUUUUUCUAAUAGCCGUUGAUACAAUCCUGAGCUGCGAGCUAGUUCGAAAUUUCACCAAUUGUUAUGGGCAGUUUGGUAAAAUUACUAAUUAAAAAUAUAACUUAUCAAUUUAGUUGGUUAACUAUUGGUCCAACCAUAAUUUUUUCCAAGAAAAUAUUGAGUAAAAUUACAUAAACGCCCUUAAGUGGGCUGGUUUGAAUGGGAGAAGAGAAAACUCUUCUAUUCCCAUUCCCUUCUUCUUUUUCCCAUUUCCCCUUUCUCUCAAUACCCUAUUUCCCCUCUCUUCUACUUAGUAAUGAGAUGAAGGAUUUUUCCUUCAAAUUGAAGGGAUUUAGGAGCAGAACCUUUGGAGAAGGAAACCCAUUUUCAAGUUGAAACUCUAGCUAGAGAACAAAGUAAGUAAAUUUUCGGUUUUGUGCUUUGUGAGUAUCAAAGAAUGAAUAUUUUGAGUUGCAUGCAUGUUUUUCUAUUCUCUUUGAAGGUCCCAAGCUAUCCUUUAUGGAUUGGUUAUAGUUUUUGAAGAUUUUAUGACACUAUAUUCAAAUAUUGAUGCCCUAAAUUGGGGGUUUUUGCCCUAUUAUGAAAUUUUCUUGUGAUUUUAGGGUUGGGACCCUAAGAGCCCAAAAUGAGAUUUUUGAUAAUUAACUUUUAGUUCUUUCUACUUGAAUUUAGGGGCCAAUACAUAGUUAUAUGAAUUGCUUUUACUUUUAAGAGGUUUUGAUGAGUUAGUUGCAUGUUAUGAGGUUCCAAAAAUUAGGAUUUUGAUCAACUACAAGAUUAACCUUUUGUAGUUGAUUUUAAGAGUUUAGAAUCCUUAAAUUGAAGUGUCUAUCAUGUUCAAAUAUAUUGGGCAUGAAUGUACGAUUGAGCUAAGUUGUUUAAUCAAAUUUAAAUUUAGUUUGUUAAUAUUUCGAUCAAUUUAUGCUAUUCUCGGGUUGGACUAUUCCGGUUAGUUUUCGGAAGGUAUAAACAUCUUGUUAAGGUGUCGUUUGUUAAAAUUAAGUACCCCAAACCCUUUUAUAGAGUUUGAAUGAGUUAUUUUAAGGUUUUUAUCUAUUUUUAAAGAGUUAUGAGCUCCCAAAAUAGGGACUUUUGUUCUAACCCGAGAAUAGAGUAUAAUAGUCGAAGUGAUGGACUUAAAUAAGUCUAAAUCAUUUAAGAUUACGAAAAAUAAAAGAUUAAUGGAGAUACUCAUUAUUUGUAUGUUAGGUACUUCGGGCGUGCAUGCCGGAGCUCCUACGGCCGAACCUUCCACAUCUUAGAUCAGUCUUUUCUUAUUUUGAGGUGGAAUCCUUAUCUAUAAAUGAUGAACCUUAGUGGUCCUCUUAGUAUCAUACAUGCAUAUAUAUAUAUUGCUAUCGAAUGUUCGUAAUUCUUGUUGCGUGUUUAAUUAUUGUUCUAAGAACUUAUGCCAUCGUUGUUUAUUCUUUGGUUCACAAUGCAAUGGAAGUUGAUCUUAUACUCUAGCAUAUCUCUUAUUAUCAUAUUGUACUAGUAGAGGGUAUGCAUUUGUAUUGGAAGGUAGCAUAAUCUUGAUUAUUUGUUAAUUCCAAAAUAUAACAUGAUUGUUGGGACAUUGACCCUAUUUGGAUUCGCCGCUAUGCUUAUGGUACUCCCCGGGCCAUCUUGGAUGGCUCCUUGUGAUGUGGGAGUUUGAGUGAGAGAAGGCAUGAGUGGGUUAUCGGUGGUGGUCGCUCCCCACGCGGUAAGCCCUUUGCUCCCCGGGUUGAGAUUUGGAUUACGCAUUUACUCGAUUGUAGGUCGAGUUGGAUUUUUGUUGGGUCUUUUCUAGUUGAUUAUGCUUAUCCUAUGAUUUUACCAUUUACUUAUUGAGUAUAGUUGCUAUCGUUGAUCAUAAUGGUAGAUUCAUAUGUAUGUUUAUUAAUCAUUCAUAAUCAUUGUUUAUCUUUCCGUUGAUCACCUACUAUUAGGUUAGUGGGAAUUAUUGUCUCUAGAUGAGCUUCCACUGGGAACUAUUGUUAAUAGUUCUCAUUAUGUGGAUAUUACUAAUUUUUCAGGUAUGACCUUUGAGAUGAGAUCGGGCGAGACGACGACUAUAGUUAGAUAGUAGCAUGUUGAUCGUCUCCAUUUUUGUAUUAUGUAGAUCUUAUUUUUGUAUUUUGGACAAUCAUUUUGGAUAUGUAUUAGGUCAUAUUGGGACUAUGAAUUGUACAAACUUGCUACUUGUUAAGUUCAGGGCAUAACCAUUUAGAAGUUUUAUGUAUGCUUAAAUGGAAUGGUAUUUUGGAUAACCAAUCGUUACGUUGGUAACUUUGGGAUGCUUAAAAUUUGUGAAUUGUUUAUUUAAAUUUAUCAUAUUGUAGGGAUGUUGAUAUUAACGCCGGACAUACUUAAGAUUUCAAUCUUAAGUUAUGUGGUGGGUCUGUAGCUGUUUUACCUCUGUGGUGCUCACCGCUACCGGGGUGCUGCAAAGAGUAUUUGAACCGUUUCAAAAUAGCCAAAAUCCGGUGCUUUAUGAGAAUGCCAAAAUCAGAGUUCGCCAAAAUGGCGUUAAAUUGUUUGCAUUUUAAGAUAAAAAGACUAUUUUGAAGAUAAGUAUUUUUCUAACUUAUUUGAUCUAGGUGUUCAAGUUGCCCAAUAUGAGCAAUUUCGGAAGAAAAGUGAGGACGAUCGGCUGCAAUGGAGCCGAUAUAAAAAUCAAAACAAAGGCAAGGAGAAAUCCUUAAUAGAAGAACAGUCAGUUGAAAAAGAGCCGAGCCAAUCGAGUGAAAGUGAAGAAUCGGCUGAUGAAGCCGAGGUAUAUGCGGCUGGUAAAGAGCCACUUUCUUCAAGGAGAAAUCCUUGAUAGAAGAACAUUCGGUUCAAGAAGAGCCAAACCAAUUGAGUAAAAGUAAAGAAUCGGCUGAUGAAGCCGAGGUAUAUGCGGCUAGGAUGAUAAAGAGCCGUUUCUUUAAGCCGACCAAGACCAGCGAAACUAAAGCUUGGGUCUCGGCUGUGUCAUUGAGCAGUCGAUUUGGCACCAAUAGGCAUCCGAAUGUUCAUUCGAAAGACUAUUUGGGGGGCAUUGUUGAUGCCAAAAUUAAAAUUAGGCAGGAACUGUUGAGAAGUGGGAUGUAACUUCCACGAUCAUGGCUACACCACUCCCCCCACUAUUCAAAACCGACCAAUAAUGUGGGCUGAGAAGACAGCACUAUAAAUAGUAAUUUCGAAGCCUGCAAUAGAGGUCUUUUCCCCGUGAACAAAAGACCACCUUUAUUUCUUCUACAAUUUCUUCGCAUUUUCUAGAAGUAGUCAACUUGUAAUCUUUUACUUUCUCGCACUUACCAUUUUUCCUAGGAGUAGAGUUAAGUUAGAUCAACCGAGUCUGUAUGCCCUCAGGCACACUCGACCCUUGUACUGUUCUUGCAAGCUAAUUCUAAUAUAUCAAGGCAUUCGGCUCAUCAGCCGACCUGAAAUCCUUUGUUUUCUAUACAUUUGGCUCAUCCAGCCGAACCUAUUCUGUAAUAGAAGAUUCUGAACUCGGCUGAUCCGAUCCCUUAUCAGCCGAAUCGCUUGAUCCAGUCGAAGGGCGCAAACUUCGAGGGUCACUAAUCGUAGCCGUUUCGCAUCCCGACGCGCUUCCCGAGGAAGAUCUUUGACCGGGUCAAAGAAGAGGGAAUUCGACACCUAACACUAACUAAGAAAAAUAAAGUUGGAUUUCUUUGUUUUCCCCAUAAUUGGAGGGGUUCUGUUACAAUCUUACAUAAUGCAUUUUGCAAAACUUAGGAACCACGACCUCAUAUAUUAUUUGCAAUUAAUAGUCAAUCUAGGGAGCUCUGUGCUUUCAAACAAGAAAAGAAAGAAAGAAAGAAAAAAAAAAAAACAGAACUAAGUUUUUUUAUUAUUGCAUUACAAUUAGUUGAUACGUCCACAUGUAAAUCUAUUUGAUCAUAGGAAUCAAUCCUAAAAGUUCUUAUGCUUUCAAACAAAACAAUAUAAAUCAGAGAUUUCAAAAAUGGGAUUGAGUCCAGCUUAAAGCGAAAAAACAUCUAUCAUAGCCAAAAAACGUCAUGGAGAAACCAAAAUAAAGUUUCAAAUCCAUCAGUUUUUCCAUAAAAGAAUAUCCGGUCUUAAUUGUUAACCCAAAUUAGAACCUAUAGAAACAAAUAAUUUAAUUAGAUUGAUGAUAUAAAGAAAAAUAUAUAGAUGAACCAAUACAAAAUGAACAUAAUUUAAUAAAAAAUGUACCAACUGGAGCUUUACAAAGCUCUCACUACCAGACUGCUAACAAAAACUAAUAUAUAUAUAUGUAUACAAACCUAAAUUCUAAAAUAGGGAUUUUAAACCCAAAAUUAGAGGUAAUAGAAUAGGAACAAAUAGGAAACCCUCUCUAAUCCUUUAGCCUUUACCUUUACUACUAAUUGAUAGUUAACUUGGAGCAAAAAUAUUAAUGGAACAUAACCUUAUCAACUAAACCCUAAACCCUCCAACCAAAAAAAACAGAGAUGAGAGAGGGGGAAAAAAAAACUUUUAAAUUUGAAGUAUUGAAGUUUAAUUUUUCACUAACCCUAAUAAGUUGGGUUUUCACUAAGUUUCAAAAAGUUAUUUGGAAUAAAUAUACUAGGAGAAGAUAAAGACCAUAAAAAAGGAGAAAAAUCUAGAAGUUAUCUACCUGGUAGUAACUCGAGAGAAAUAGAGGUUGAGAAGAAGCAUAUGGAACCACAAGCUCCCCCAAAGGUUGCUUUAAUCGCUCGAAGACCUAAAUACAACACCUUGCUCCUUAGCCAUGUAUGGUCGCUUAGUUUCCUGCCCAAAUAUAACACACUACCUCUGAUGUUGAUGACUUGCUUCAAAUUGUAGGAUGAGGAAGGAGGGAGUGGUGGGAGAGGGGAGGGAAAAGAUGGCCAAGUUGAGGGAAUGGUGGGAGAGGGGAGGGAAAAGAUGGCCAGGUUCAGAAAAAAAACCUCAGGGGGAAGAGAAGGGGUAGGUGAAAAAAGUAGCGCGUAAUGAAAAAGAAGGCGCCUUUUUCUGUAGCAUCGCGCCUUUGGGCUUUUGCGACGGGCCAAAUCCAAAUUAAGACGACCAAAUAAUUUUUGGUCGGUACUCUGGCUCUUUUGGCCAACUGAAAGUUUAUUUAUAUUUUUUGCACUUUUAGUAACCACUUAAGGAGACUGGUCACCUAAAGUUGGUCACUAAAAAGCCUUUAUAUGUAAUUAGUAGGCUUUCCUACAGUUUGCUCCACGCAAGGGAAUAAAUUAAUUUUACCGCCAAAUUUGAAUGUUCUUCUACAUUCAACCUUUCAUCAUUUCUUGAAGGCGGAUUAUAUCUUGUCUCGAAACCUUCUAUGUAUCAAGAACAAAAAGUCAUGCAUUCAUCUACUAAGUAAGCUUCUGCAAAUAGCCCUCCGGACAAGGCCUGUUACGCUCAUAUGACUUUAAGGUCCCAAGGUACCUAAUAAAAAAAAAAAAGAUAAAAGAUAAUUUGAUUUGAUAAAUAAAUACUAACAUAAAAAAUUUAAAUGACUACUCUAUGUUUGGACAUACCAUUCAAUAGGAUACAUCCAUCGAUACUGAACUGGAUUGGCAAUCUUUGUCUUAGUAACCAAAUGGAUGACUAAAUGCACCAUAAUAGUAAAAAAAAAUUUACCGAUUGUCUCUAGAGUAAGUGGCAAACGGCUGAUUGGUACUCGAGGUCCCAGGUUUGAAUCCUAGUUGAUUCACAUUUCCAGCUAAGUUUAUUGCGCCUUAUUAGGGCACUCGCUACCAUUUAAAAGAGCAUGCCAGUCACAAACCUACUAAUAAACAAGAAUUGUUCAGCUUUCGUCGUUCAUCCUUGCGUUCUAAAGUUGAACGAGCAUUCGGCAUAUUGAAAAACUGUUUCAAGUUUUAACAUCCACUAAAAAAAUGUUGAUUUGUGGUGACACUUAUUUUAGUAACGCUUGACACAAGUGUUGACAAAAAUAUAUUUUAGCAGCGGUUUUAACUAAUUAUUAUAAUAGUUCAAUUCUAUACCGUUGGUUGUAGUAAUAUAAUGAUUGAGGGAUUUUUUGUUUCUUUUUAUUUUUCUUAUUUUUAAUUUUAACUUUUUAAAAUUUCCAAAGGAAUUGGGAAAACUAGAUGGAAAUGUAUUAUUGCUAAAAUGGAGCACAGCUUAUCUCAAAGCCGCAUUGGAUUGGGGCUUCAACGGUAAUAGAGGGUGAAAUUGGGCCCAAAAUUAUAGAUAUUUGGACCCAUAAGGGCCGUUUAUAUGAAUUAAUGUUUUGGAAUAAAUAGUUUACAUUGAUGUAAUUUACAGAAUUGAAAAUUCUAUAUAAAAGAAAGUCUUAAUUUUGUUUUUUUUAAAAAAAGCCUAUUUACAGGAACAUGUAAUAUAUAGAUUCUAGUAUUAGAAUAAAAAAAAAGUUAUAAAACUAGUGUGAAAGAGUUGGUUGUUAAAGAGUGAACUUAUAAGAUUACAACCAAUUUUUUAUUGUAGAGUUACCAUUACUUAAAAUUUUUCAUUCCAAUUAAAACCCAGCCCUAAAGAAAUUUUGAUCUCAACUAAGGGGGCGUUUGGAUUGACGAAUUUGUAGAUUCAACGUAAGUCAAGUGUAGUGGUGUUUGAGUUUCCCUGAAGUGUGAUUAUUUUUCUGUUGUUUGUUUUGACGUAACUCGUACCACUGAAAGUUAAAUUCAAUCACUUCUGCUGUUUGUUUUGAUGUAACUUGGUGCUGGUAAAAUUAGUUUUUUGAGUUCCGUUGUUUGUUUUGAUGUAAGUAAGUGGAUCACAUUAUCUCUUAAAUAUAGUAAUAAAUUUAUCACUAUAAAAAUUAACCUAUUAUAUAAUUAAUUUUUUUAUUAUUAUUUAAAGAUAAUCUUAAUUUAUUAUAAAUAAAAUAAUUCUAACCCAUUAUAAAGAAAGUAGAGUUUAGGUUUUACUGUUUAAUAAAUUAUUUAGAGAAGGUUGAGUGUGGUGGAAGUCGAGUUCGGUACUUUAGAGCCGGAAGUCGAGAGUAGGUGAAGUGGAGCUCUAACAUAACUUGAGUUACAUUACAUUUUUCACUUACACCAAAACAAAUAACGAAAGUGAUGGAACUUGAGUUCCAUCACUCCACUUACACCAAAACAAACAGGCCCUAAAAACCCAGCGCAAAAAGAAUUUUUGGAUCCCAAUAAAACCCAGCCCAAGUGAAAAGGAAAAAGGAAAAUAGAAUACGAUCAAAACCAAAACCCUCCUCCCAUCUCUCGCGCGCCGCGCCCCACCGUCCCCUCCCUCUCUUCACGAUCAAAUUCCUGUCCUCUCCCCCCCGAUACCGAUCCCCCUCAACACUCUCUCCGUCUCCGACACCGAUCUUCGUCUCCGACACCGCACCAACCCGCGGGACAACAGAGUUAGUAGUAAUCACUUGGUAGUAGUAAUGACUAUGUAGAGUUCGAUAUUUAACUUCACAUCAGUGUUUUUGAUGCAAUUUUUUCUUGAUUUUCUCUACUUUUUAUGUUUAUUAGGCUUUUCUUGAUUUUCUCUACUUUUUAUGUUUAUUAGGCUUCUAGUUGCUUGGAUUUGGUAUUACUCUCCUCGACCCCAGCUCAGAGAGAUCUAGGGUUGGGGGUUUCGAUUGCCCAAUGGAGGAGGUCAGCUCUCUUUGUGUUCGCUUUUUUUUUAAUCACUCUGGAGUUUGGAGUGGACGAAUUCGACGAGGUAAUUGGUGAAUCUUCUAUCUCAUCCUAUUGAUCCGUAAACUUCAAUUUAUGUGAAUUGGGUCAUGAACUUAGAGACUUCUUCGCUUGGUCUAUUCAUGCUUAAUUAGUUUGAUACGAUGCAUCCAACUUUCUAAUAAUUGUGUGAACAAAAAUAAAUAAGUUAUUUCUAAUUUCUUCCCAAUUCAGAUUGGAGUACUCAUUGCCUAAUCUGGUCAACAAAUCUUAUCAUUAUAAUUUUCUAUCAUAGAAAUGCAUUAGUUUCCUUCAAAACAACAUUAAACAAGGUUUAAGAAUCACCUAAGGGUAGCACAUUUUAUGUUCUCGCGAUCCCAUUAAACAACAUUUGAAAAUGCAGUUUCCCCUGGGAUUGCAAUUUGACAAUAAAUUUGAAUUAUUCUAUUCCCGUGAGUAGUCCACUGGGCUAUAAGGAUAUGUGGAAGACCUAUAUUCUCUAUUCAGAUGUUUGAAAAACCUCCAUAGCUAAUUUUGUUGGGAUCAUUUGAUAGCUUUCUUUAUGGCAAAUAGCAUAAGAUUUAAGCUGAAGCUUCUAAUUUGAAAGUCAUGCAAAACAUACAUAGAGGAAGAACAACAAGUUGGAGCUCAGAAACUUACAUACUAGUGGCCCACAAGAAAAAAGGUAGGAAAAAUGUGCUGAAAGUAGAAAAUCUAGACAAUAAAUAAACAAGGUUAUUUUUCAGGUUUUGCCCUAAAAAUUAGAACUAUGAAGGAGAUUAACCUACUGUUCUAUUGGUGGUUGUGGGGAAGUAAAGCUUAUUAUCGGUUAAAAAGUUCAUAUGGUGGGAAAUCCGCCCAAAUCAAAUCAGCCGAUUGUGGGAUGUUAUCUAUCACCAUUUAGUGCAUAUUGUGCUAGUAUAUUUUCUUUUUUUGGUGAUAGUGCAGGAACUUUUUGCCUCUUAAGUAUCAAACAUUAAAAUAAGCUUUGUUAUCUCAUAGAAAUUCCAUUUUUAUUUUUAUAUACACGCAUGCAGAUAACCGUUCUUAUUGGUACUUAUUAUUUUUCAACAUUGGGCACUACAACUAUAUAUAAAUUAUUCAUUCAGAUCCGAACUUCUCACAUGUGAAUUAAGUAGUUGCUGCCCAUAUGACACAUUUAAUACUCAUCCAAACAUAUAUUUUCAUAAAAUCUAAAAUGAUUUUAGUAAUAAAAACAAAAGACUUGAUAAGAUUAGAGGAAGACAAAUAGAUUUUGGAUGAAUGGAGUGGUAAUAUGUUUACCUAGUCUAAAACUUGAUAAGAAAAAUUCGAGUAGGUACCCAUUUACUUGAGAAGUUGUACGCGAUCACCUGAUUUGUAAUGGAAUUAGUCCUAAUUAUGAUAAUUGGUUCUUUUAUGGGGAACCCAUAUUUAGAGCCACAUCUAAUCCUACUAAUGAGAGUCGUAGUUUUCUGGUCCAUAAUGUGAAUGAUAGUAUACGUGGCAUGCUACAUGAAGCUUUUCAAAUGCAUAAUAAUCAACUUCAAGAUGACUUUCAAGAUGAUAGUGAUUUUCAAGACUCAUCUGGAAAAGGUUCUGAUUCACAGUAACCUAAAGGUGCUCCAAAUAAAGAUGCAAGCAAAUUUUAUAAGUUACAUAAAGAUGCUAAACAACUUUUGUAUAAUGGUUGUGAGAAGUAUAGCAAAUUGACAGCUAUUGUAGUUUUAUAUUAUGUAAAGUCCCUUCAUGGGUGGAGUAGUAAAUCUUUUAGUAUGCUCCUUGAAGUACUAAAAGAUAUGCUUCCUUCAGAUGCUAAGUUGCCAGAUGAUUGCUAUGUCGCGAAAAAAAUAUAUUAGGGACCUAGGCCUUGGAUACGAAAAGAUUCAUGCAUGUCCUAAUAAUUUUAUUCUAUUCUGGAAAGAGAAUGCAGAUUCUGAAAUUUGUCCAAAAUGUAGUACAUCAAGAUGGAAAACUAAUGACGUUAAUAUUAAUCUAGAUGUGGACGAAAAUUCCAUAAAAAAAAAAAAGCUAGCAAAAGUACUGCGAUGGUUCCCUUUAAAGCAAAGGCUUCAAAGAUUAUUCAUGUCCUCAAAAACUGCUUCUAUGAUACAAUGGAAUGCUGAAGGUCGGGCGAAUGAUGGGUUGAUAAGGCAUCCUGCUAAUUCAAUAGUAUGGAAAAAUUUUGAUAGGCGAUAUGCAGACUUCUCAUUAGAUUCUCGCAAUGUUAGCAACUGAUGGGUUCAAUCCUGUUCAAACUAUGAGCACUAAUUACAGUUGUUGGCCUGUCAUAUUGAUCCCAUACAACUUGCCACCAUGGGUAUGCAUGAAGAGGUCUUUGUUUAUUUUGUCAUUACUCAUUCCAGGCCCGAAUUCACCUUCUAUUAAUAUAGAUGUGUAUUUGCAACUUUUGAUCGAGGAGUUAGUACAAUUGUGGGAACUCGGCCUUGAUACAUACAACGCAUCUGUCGGAGAAAAUUUUUGUAUGCGUGUUGCAUUGUUAUGGACAAUUAAUGACUUUCCUGCAUAUGGUGACUUAUCUAGGUGGAGCACCAAGGGUCCUCUUUCUUGUCCUUCUUGUAAUUACGAUACUCGUUUUCGAUGGUUAAAAUACGGUGGCAAAUACUGCUUUAUGGGUCAUAGGCGAUUCUUACAAAAGAAUCAUAGAUUUCGAAAAACUAGGAUAUCAUUCGAUGGCACUCAAGAAAAUGGAGUUGGCACCUAAAAUAUUAUCCGGAGUAGAAAUUUUGGAGCACACUUAAUAAGUUGAAUGUAACUUUAGUAAGCAUAUUAAUAUAUGUCAAAAGAAAGGAAAAGAAAUGAAAAUAUAGAGUAUCAACCAUAGAAGAAAAGGAGUAUAUUUUUUAUGUCACCUUACUGGGAACACCAUAUGUUGCGUCACAAUCUUGAUGUGAUGCAUAUUGAAAAGAAUAUCUACGAUAAUAUUCUUGGCACAUUAUUGAAUUUUGAUGGCAAAUCAAAGGACAAUCUGAAGGCAUGCCUUGAUUUAAAAUAUAUAGGNCACCUUACUGGGAACACCAUAUGUUGCGUCACAAUCUUGAUGUGAUGCAUAUUGAAAAGAAUAUCUACGAUAAUAUUCUUGGCACAUUAUUGAAUUUUGAUGGCAAAUCAAAGGACAAUCUGAAGGCAUGCCUUGAUUUAAAAUAUAUAGGAUUAUGACUUGCUUCAUCCUCAAAGUGUUGGACUAAAUAAAAUUAUUUUACCACCAAAUUGCUUCACAAUGUCUCUAAAAUAAAAGGAUGAGUUUUUAAAAAUUUUGAAAAAUGUGAAAGUGCUGCAUGGCUAUGCAUCUAACCUAUCAUGUAUUCAGCUUAAGGAACGCAAAAUGAUAGGUUUAAAGAGUCAUGAUUGUCAUAUUUUAAUGCAACAACUUCGUCCGAUAGCAUUGCGUGGUGUUUUAUCGAAGAGAGUAGUUGCACAUCUAAUUGACUUGUGUUGUUUCUUUUGUGAGCUGUGUUCCAAAACUUUGGAUGUACGUGAACUUGAGCAAUCGGAAUCUCGAUUUGUGGAAACUCUAUGCCAUUUGGAAAUAAUCUUUACUCUGUUUUUUACCAUUAUUGUACAUUUGGUCGUCCGUUUAGUUACUGAAGCCAAAAUUGCAGGACCAGUACUAUCAUUGGAUGUAUCCUAUCUUUUAACUCUUCUAGUCUAUGUUAUCUUUUUGACCUGUAGGGCUCUCUUGCGGCUCAAGUUUGAGGUACGUAUAAGGCUCAUCCGGAGGAUUCAAUUGCAGAAAGCUACAUGGUAGAAGAAUGUAUGACGUUUUGGUCAUGGUUAUAAAAAGAUUCAUAUGGAGAAUUUUGUUAGCUGGUUUCAAUCAUAUGACCAAAACCGGUCAACAAAAUUCUCUAUAUGAAUCUUAUUUAUAACCAUAUCACUUGGGCGUGUUCCACGAUUCUACCUCUUUAUUGCAUUUUUAUGAAUACUAGACAAAAAGAAAUAAUGUUAAUAUCAAGCAAUUAAAACUAGUAGGUACAUAAUACUUAUAUGAUAUAGUUAUUGACCUGCAAAAAGGAAUUAUUUCAUUACUAUUGAACAGUACAUAUCGAUGAGCUUGCAGCCAUGACUUUUGAUCAAGAAGAAUAUUUAAGAUUGCUCCCAUUGAAUCAUCAAUAUUCCUAGCGGGCCUAUUGAAUGUUGUCUCGAUAGUUUCCUCAUACAUUCUUCUACCAUAUAGUCUUCUACAAUUGAACUCUCUGGAUGAGCCUUAUUACAUAUCUUAGACUUAAGCCGAAUGAGAGCCCUACAGGUCGAAAAGAUAACAUAGACUAGAAAAGUUAAAAGACAAUUAGGUUAAGUAAAAAGUAACAAGAUGACUAGGUCAAACCUAACCUCUCGAUAGGAUACAUCCAACGAUAGUAUUGACUUCAGUAGCUAAAUGGACGACCAAUGUACCAUAAUGGUGAAAAAUGAAGGAAGAAAGAUUGUUUCCAAAUGACAUAGAGUUUUCAUAAUUCGAGAUUCCAAUUGCUCAAGUUCACGUACAUCCAAAGUUUUGGAACACAACUCACGAAAGAAACAACACAAGUCGAUUAGAGGUGCAACUACUCUCUUCGGUAAAACCCCACGCAAUGCUAUUGGAAGAAGUUGUUGCAUUAAAACAUGACAAUCAUGACUCUUUAAACCCUAUCAUUUUACGUUCCUCAAGUUGAAUACAACAUGAUAGGUUAGAUGCGUAGCCAUCCGGCUCUUUCACAUUUUUCAAAAUUUUUAAAAACUCAUCCUUUUAUUUUAGAGACAUUAUGAAGCAACUUGGUGGUAAAAUAAUUUUAUUUAGUCUAACACUUUGAGGAUGAAGCUCAGGUCGUAAUCCCAUAUCUUUAAAUCAAGGUGUGCCUUCAGAUUGUCCUUUGAUUUGCCAUCAAAAUUCAAUAAUGUGCCAAGAACAUUAUCGCAUAUAUUCUUUUCAAUAUGCAUCACAUCGAGAUUGUGACGCAAUAUUUGGUGUUCCCAAUAAGGUAACAUAAAAAAUAUUCCCCUUUUCUUCCAUGGUUGAUAUUCUAUAUUUUCAUUUCUUUUCCUCUUUCCUUUUGACAUAUUAAUAUGCUUACCAAAGUUACAUUCAACGUAUUGUAUUGAGUGUGCUCCAAAAUUUCUGCUCCGAAUAAUAUUUUAGGUGCCUACUCCUUUUCUUGAGUGUCAUCGAAUGAUAUCCUAUCUUUUCGAAAUCUAUGAUUCUGUUGUAAGAAUCGCCUAUGGCCCAUGAAGCAGUAUUUGCCACCGUAUUUUGACCAUCAAGAGCGAGUAUCGUAAGUACAAGAAGGACAAGAUAGAGGACUCUUGGUGCUCCACCCAGAUAAGUCACCAUAUGUAGGAAAGUCAUUGAUUGUCCAUAACAAUAUAGCACGCAUACAAAAAUUCUAUUCGAUAGAUGCAUCAUAUGUAUCAAGGCCGAGCUCCCACAAUUGUACUAACUCCUCGAUCAAAGGUUGCAAAUACACAUCUAUAUUAAUAGAAGGUGAAUUCGAGCCUUGAAUGAGUAAUGACAAAAUAAACGAAAACCUCUUCAUGCAUAUCCAUGGUGGCAAGUUGGAUGGGAUCAAGAUGACAGGCCAACAACUGUGCUUAGUGCUCAUAGUUCGAAAAGGAUUGAACCCAUCAGUUGCUAAUCCGAGCCUAACAUUGCGAGGAUUUAACGAGAAGUUUGCAUAUCGCCUGUCAAAACUUUUCCAUGCCAAUGAAUCAGUAGGAUGCCUCAUCAACCCAUCAUUCGUUCGACCUUCAGCAUGCCAUUUUAUUAUAGAAGCAGUUUUUGAGGACAUGAAUAACCGUUGAAGCCUUUGCUUUAGAGGGAACCGCCGCAGUACUUUUGCUGGCUUUUUCUUUUUGAUGGACUUUUCUUCCACAUCUAGAUUAACAUUAACAUCAUUAGUUUUCCAUCUUGAUGUACUGCAUUUUGGACAAAUUUUAGUAUUUGCAUUCUCUUUCGAGAAUAAAAUACAAUUAUUAGGACAUGCAUGAAUCUUUUCAUAUCCAAGGCCUAGGUCCCUAAUAUAUUUUUUUACGAUAUAGCAAUCAUCUGGCAAGUUAGCAUCUGAAGGAAGCAUAUCUUUAGUACUUCAAGGAGCAUACUAAAAGAUUUAGAGGCAAUUGCCUAUAUACUCUUGAAAAGUUUCCGGUUUUCUUAUUUACCCCUCUUAGAAGGCUAAUAUUGAAAAUACCCUUCUUAUAUUCCAAGCGUUUCUAAUAUACCCCUGGAGUUAAUUUUCGUUAGUGAGCUGCCGUUAUCUCUAGAAAAUUACUAUUUUGCCCAUUCUAAUAUGCCCUUCUACCGUAACUAACUUUUCUUAUAUAUCCUUCAUAUAGCAAAUACUUUUCUUAUUUGCCCUUCAAAUAUUAAUUAAUUAAUUAAGCACGUCAGGAGCGAGCAGAUGAACGGAUGAGAUCGAUCGCAGCUAAACCAACCUUGGUGGCCGGAGGCAUAGUUAGUUAAUUCGGAUUCGGCAAAAAUUCGGUACGGAUAUAAUUCGGAUAAAAUUCGAUUUUUAAUUUUUAAAUUCGUUGAAAAAUACGGCUAAAAAACGGAUUCGAUAGUUAUUCGGAUACGUGAUUUAUACGGGUAUUAUACGUUCACCAAUUUAAAAUUCGGGAUCAAAUAUAAUUUUUAUAUAUAAUUUUUAAAAAUUCGGUAUUAUACUAUAUAUAUUAUUAUUAUAAUAUUUAUAUAUAGAUUAAAUAUAUUUAAAAUUAUGAUAAACAUAUACUAAUAAUAUAUAAGAGUUAUAUAUUUAAAAAUAUUAAUAAAUAAUUACAAAUUUAUAAAUAAAAUAUUAUAUAAUAAUAUUUCUAUAUAUAAAUAAAAUACUAUAUGAAUAUAUAUUUAUAAAUUAUAUAUAUAUAUAUAUAUACACACACACACACACACACACACUUAUAUAUAUAAUGAGAGGGAGGUCCACGGUGGACCUCCCUCUCAUCCGGUCCACGAGGCCAAAUUGGCCUCGUGGACCGCGCACACCCAAGGGCGAGGGCGUGCCGUUGCCGGGCGUCCGCGAGAGAGAGCGCGCCGCGCUCCGCCGUCCGCAAGGGCGUGGGCGUGGUGCGGUCGGGCGUAGUGGGGGAGGGGUGCUGGUUGCGGGCGACCUAGAGGUCCAUGAUCUUGCGGGCAGCGUCGGUGCUCUCGUGCAUGAGGCGGGCGACCUCGGCCUUGGGCAGGCCCAGGCGGAGCGUGCGGGCGUCGUCGGGGUGGGCGUGGGCGUGGGAGUUGAGGAGGGAGAGGUCGGAGGAGGAGGACGACAACGACGAUUCAACAAAUCCAUAGGCUCUCGGCGUCGACCAAGGCGGCGGAGGAGGAGGAGGACGACGAGAGCGGCGAGAGGGGUGGUGGUCUGGGAGGUGGUGGUGGUGGUCUGGGAGGAGAUGAGGCGAGGUGGAGGCGGAGGAGCCGGCGAGGUGGAGGCGGAGGAGCUGGCGAUCACGUUGGGAGAGAGAGGAUAACUUAAGGAAUUAACAUAAUAAGGUAGGGGUAAAAUAGGUAUUUUAUAUAGGUUUUAACUCUAGUAUACAUUUAACCCAUAUUUAACUCGAGUUAAGUUAAUAGGGGAUAACUGCGGGGGUAUUUUGGAAUAACGGUGGAACAUAUGAGGGGCAUUUUAGAAAGAAAAAAAAAAGUAGGGAUAGAUCGGAUAUUUCUAGACGCAUGAGGGGUAUAUAGGCAAUUAUCCCAAAGAUUUAUUGCUCCACCCAUGAAGAGACCUCAAAUGAUAUAAAACUACAAUAGCUGCCAAUUUGCUAUACUUCUUACAACCAUUGAACAAAGGUUGUUCGGCAUCUUUAAGUAACUUAAAAAUUUACUUGCAUCUUUAUUUGGAGCAUCUUUAGGUUGCUGUGAAUCAGAACCUUCCCCAGAAGAUGAGUCUUGAAAAUCACUAUCAUCUUGAAAGUCAUCUUGAAGUUGAUUAUUAUGCAUUUGAAAAGCUUCAUGUAACAUGCCACAUAUACUAUCAUUCACAUUAUGGACCUAAAAACUACGGCUCUCAUUAGUAGAAUUAGAUGUGCCUCUAGAUAUGGGUUCCCCAUAAAAGAACCAAUUAUCAUAAUUAGGACUAAUUCCAUUGCAAAUCUGGUGAUCGCAUACAACUUCUCGAGUCCAACUAUAGAAAUUUGUGCAUUUCAUACAAGGACAUGAAAUCCUCCUAUCCUCUGACCCAUUUUUAAAAGUAAAAUUCACAAAAUCAUUUGCUCCUUUAUAAUAUUCAUAUGUCCAUCUACUCUUUUUUAUCCAACUUUUAUCCAUUGCAGUACUUAUCAAGUUGUAAAAUCAACCUAUAAAAAAGAAAGCUCAUAAUUAUAAAAGAAAAUGUAGAUCAAGUAAAUAAUUGGUAAAAGUAAAUGGGUACCUACUCAAAUUUUUCUUAUCAAGUUUUAGACUAGGUAUACAUAUUAUACUCCAUUCAUCCAAAUAUCUAUUUUUCUCCCUCUAAUCUUAUCAAGUCUUUUGUUUUUAUUACUAAAAUCAUUUUAGAUUUUAUGAAAAACUAUGUUUGGAUGAGAAUUAUAUCUGUCAUAUGGGCAGCGACUACUUAAUUCACAUGUGAGAAGUUCGGAUAUGAAUGAAUAAUUUAUAUAAUUGUAGUGCCCAAUGUUGAAAAAUAAUAAGUACCAAUAAGAACGGUUAUAUGCGUGCGUGUAUAUAAAAAUAAAAGUAGAAUUUCUAUAAGAUAACAAAGCUUCUUUUAAUGUUUGAUACUUAGAGGCAAAAAGUUCCUGCACUAUCACCAAAAAAAGAAAAGAAAUAUACACUAGCACAAUAUGCACUAAAUGGUGAUAGAUAACAUCCCACAAUCGGUUGAUUUGAUUUGGGUGGAUUUCCCACCAUAUGAACUUUUUAACCGAUAAUAAGCUUUACUUCCCUACAACCACCAAUAUAAUAGUAGACUAAUCUCCUUCAUAGUUCUAAUUUUUAGGGCAAAACCUGAAAAAUAACCUUGUUUAUUUACUGUCUAAAUUUUUCCACUUUCAGCACAUUUUAUCUACUUUUUUCUUGUGGGCAACUAGUAUGUAAGUUUCUGAGGUGCAACUUGUUGUUCUUCCUCUAUGUAUGUUUUGCAUGACUUUCAAAUUAGAAGCUUCAGCUUAAAUCUUAUGCUAUUUGCCAUAAAGAAAGCUAUCAAAUGAUCACAAUAAAAUAAGCUAUGGAGGUUUUUCAAACAUCUGAAUAGAGAAUAUAGGUCUUCGACAUAUCCUUAUAGCCCCAAACCUAUUACUUGGCAUUGCCUAGAAUAGUGGACUCACUACAAAAAAGUCGAUUUGUGGCGACAGUUAUUUUAGUAACAUUUAACACAAGUGCUGCCAAAAAUAUAUUUUAGCAGCCGUUUUAAAUAAUUAUUAUAACAUUUCUAAACCGUCGGUAUAUAGUAGUAUAAUAACUGAAGGAUUUUUAUUUUAACUUUUUUUUAAUUUCCAAAGUGAUUUAGAAAGGCAGCUAGAAAUGUGUUAAUGCUAAUUGGGCCUAGCUUAUCUUGGGCUGCACUGAAUUUGGCUUCAACAUUAUUAGUGGGUUACAUUGUCCCCAAAAAAUUAUCGGAUUUACAUAUUUGAACUCCAUAAGAAUUGUUUAUAUUAAUUAAUGUUUUGGAGUCAAAAAAAUUAAACCAAUGUAAUUCAUAGAAUCUAAAAUUCUAUAUAUAAAGAAGUCUUAUGUAGUACACUGAACUGGCGCAAAUUGCGAAGUUCAAGUGUGGAAACGAUAAUUGGAACUACCUGACACCUUCUAAAGGGUUUAGAGAUGGUUGUGGACAAGUUUGGGAGUGAUUAGGCCACUGGAAGCGAGAAAGUGCAUUGCUACUACUAUUUCUGCAUCUUCUGCAUUGUUGUACCGGUACAACAUUGAGUCUGUACCGGUACAACAAGCAUCAGCAGCAGCAGCUGCGUGGCAGUGAGGAGAUUUUGGUAAUUUCACCUUUUAAGCUUAUCUUUAACCCUGAAUUUGACCCUUGCAGCUGUCUUGGAGGUGCUGGAGCCUGGAGAGGCAGGUUGGAAGGCUUCUCUUCUUCUCUCUCUAGGGUUUUUCUCUCUCUACAUUGGAAUCAAGGGUUUUGGUCUACUUUCUUCUCCUUCUUUGAUGCUGAUUGUUUUGGGAAGCCAGGGAGCUGUUGUAGAAGGGUGAAGAAGGUAUUUUGGGAAGGAUUUCGCAACUCCAUCACAGCAGGUAGCUGAGUGGAGACUUGCUAAGGUAACUAACUAACUAUUUGUUAGCUUAAUGCUUUAGUAGUAGAGUUGAAUAUGAUUUCGGGUUUCUUGUGCCCAGCUGGUGUGAGGGGAGUUCUAGUAGCCCUAGAAGCAGGAUUUGAUGUGGUUUUUGUAACCUGAAUCCAGAGGGAGAAUGAGAUUGGAACUUGGAAUGAGGUAAGUAGUGAAUUGAUUACCUUAUGUGAGGUUACAAUAAGCUUGUUAAUGAAGAAUGAAGUUGUUUUUGGGUACAUGUUGCUGCAGCUUGGAGGCUCCUGUUGUGCUGAAUAGCUUGACAUUGUGAACUAGGUUGAGGGGAUUUCAACUAGAAGGAAGCAGAGUUACAAGUAAGAAAUCUAUAUAAAUGAGAUUUGAGCCUCGAUUUUGUGGUUACCCAAGUGUACUAAUGCAGUUUUGGGUUUGGUUCACAGCAGGAAGUGCGCACCUUAUAAUUGAGAGUUAGGACUCUUUUGAGCUGGAUUAAGCUGAUUGUGGAGUACUUCAAUUCAGAUUGAAGUAAAGUUUUGGCGUAAGUCUCAACCUAGGUGAGACUUUAGUCUAUAUUAUGUGAAUAUGUGAGAUAUUGUUCUAAGUAUAUAAUUUCAGUCUCUAGCUGAUUUUCGAUUGGUUAAUUAGGGACUUGGAGACUUCAAUUUCCUGCAGCUGUGAGUUUGACAAGGGUCAUCUAUUAGUAGGUGGGUUUGGCCUUACCAGAGUAAGUGAAUCUCCUCUAUGUUCUAUAUGAUAUUAUAGAAUUAUUGGUAUGUGCAACUAUGUGAACAAGUACUAGAUACAGAAUAUUGGAUGCCAUAAAUACGCUAGUUUUAUUGAAUGGAAGGAAACCUCUAUAAAGUAGAGAUAAUUAUGAAUAAUUGUCUUAGCGUUCAGUUUAAUUGUAUAGAUAAGGGAUAGUCCUACUAUGCUUCUAAAAAGUAGAGAACAAGGACAUGCACUUGUGACAUGAAUAAUAAUGCAUUUAUGCUGUUAAGUUCCAAUGGCAUAUGUAAUUAGCAUCUCUUUUAUGGGUUAUUAAUCUAGUGGAUACUAGCAUUUUUUCAUCACAUUCAAAUUCCGACCCAUUGGUCGAGAGUGAGAACUUUACAUGUUAAAACAUGACGACUGAGAACUGUUGGACUAUGGAUCGUGCUUGCUUGCCAUUGUGCUCAUUCGCACAUGCUUGUGAGGGUCGCUCCCCACAAGCCGGCACUCUGGAGUUGGCCUACACGACAGAUUGCUCGUCCGUGCGGGAUUGGGUGCCGAAGUGGAUUGCCGUGGGGAGUGUAUACUAUUAUAGGGCCAUUAGGCGCGGCGCAAGCUAGACUACCUUGGGUAGGUCCUUAUGAAUUAAACUAAGUUACUAAAUGGUAGUAUUAAAGGAUCAGCACUACUUAGGGUACAGUUGCAUAUCUACAUGACAUGGUUAUGUUCCUAAUAUCGCUUUACUUGCUUCUAAUUGGUUGAUAUAGCUGACAGUAUGAUAUAUGUUCAUCAUUAAUUACAUUGAUAUACCUAUCAUGCAAUCAAUGUUUUUACAUUUCUAAUAGUACAUCAUGAGUCUAGUGGUGUAAUUCGCCGAGGCUGGCGGUUUACCCACUGAAAAUUAUUGUUUAAUAGUUCUCACGCCCUCUGUGUUGUUAUUUUUACAGAGCCUUCCACGACGGGAGAGGCUAGGGAUCGCGGCAAGGGAGUCGCGUCUAGCUAGGCAUAGCGUGGAGUCCUGCUAGGUGAUCACCUCGCUAUUUUGAUAUGCUGACGAGGAUGAAGUGUACCUUGUGUAGAGAGACUACCACUUAUGUUUUAUAUAGUUGUUGGGUGACCCUGUAGAGUACAUGAUUGUUUGGAGUGAUGUAAUUAUGGUUUUGGAUUUCUAUCUCGUGUAGAGAUUUGCAGGGUUUAUACUUUUCUCCUGAUAGUAGUAUUCUUGGUUUAUAUUUUGCUUUGAUAUCAUGUUAGAAUCUCUUGUUACUUUCCUAAUAAGAUUUUAUAGACGUCUUAUAUACUGCAGAUAUAUGACGGGUCUGUGCAUAAACCGGAUAUGCUUCUGCUGGUAUCCGGGCGUGACAUCUUACUUACCGACCGUCCAUAGAGCAAGUGGCAAAAGGUUUGGUGGUUGGUACCCGAGGUUCCAAAUUUGAAUCCUAGUUGAUUCAUAUUUUCAGCUAAGUUUAUUUUUAAACGAAAUAAGCGAAACUGGUAGCGUGCUACCUAUCUCUCUCUCAAAAAAAAAAAAGUUUUUCUUUUUAGAGAUUAAAAAAAAAAAAAUGUUACUUACACGAAUCUCUAAUAUAUAGAUUUUAGUAUGAAAAUAAAAAAAUUAUAAAACUAAUUUAAAGCGUUGAUCGUUAAAAGGUGAACUUAUAAGAUUGUAGUCAAUUUUUGAUUGGAGAGUUAGCAUUACUUCUUUUAAAAAAAUAAUCCACCCUCUUUGCGAUGAAACCCCCACCCCUCCUCGAUACCGAUCUCCCUCAACACUCUCUCCCUCUCCAACACCGAUCUCCCUCUUCGACACUGCACUAGUAAAUCGCUCGGUACUUGUAAUGGCUUGUAGAGUUCGAUGUUUAGCUUCAUAUCAGUGUUUUUUUUACUUGAUUUUCUCUGUUUUUUAUUUUUAUUAGGCUUCUAGUGACUCUGAUUUGGUAUUAUUUGCUCAGAUUUGGUAUUACUCGCCUCAACCCCAACUCAGAGAGAGAGGUCGGUUAUGUCUUGCUUGGAUUGGGGGUUUUGAUUGCCCAGUGGUGGAGGUGACCUCUCUUUGUGUGACCUGAGGCUAUCGGAUUCGCUUUUUUUAGCACUCGAUCGGGAGCUCGGAUUAAUCUGAAACUGGAAUUUGAGGUGAAAGACCUAGAGAUCUUACUUGAACUGUAGAAACAUGCAAUUUUGAAUUUGGUACCUGAACUGGAAAAUGCGGAAUUUAUUAUCUGAAUUUGGAAUUUUAAAUAUUUUGAUUCUACUAACUUACUUUUCAGAAUUUAAUGGAAUUGUAGAAUAUUUUGUUUGAUUAGGGAAUAUUUGACUAAUAAUGUUAUAAAUACAGUAAAGUUAGUUAGUAGAAUCAAAAAUUUUAUAGGCCUUGUCACUGUUUCGAUAAAUAGUGUACGAUAAGGUAGUAACAUAGUCCUCCUUUCACUAUGAAAAAACAUUAAGGAUACUGCCGCUUCUUGCUUAUGCAGUACACGAAGUGAUUGGGUGUAAUUCUUGGUCUAAGUAUUUUAUUAGUGGUGGUGAACUUCUUUUCUAUGGCAGAAAUUAUGCAUGCAAUUGAACAUUUGACCUGAUUUUGAUGUGAAAUGAGAGAAAUUUUACUCUUUUGACUUCGUCACUGUAGCAAAAGAUAGAAGUUGGAAAAGAGUUGUUCUUUCUUUCACCAGACAAAAAGACAUAGAUGUAUAGUUUUUAAAUGUUUGCCAAUGCAUUUAAUUGCAUAGAACUCGUGAUAAAACAAAAAAGGGAAAAAACUGUUGCAUAGCAAAACGAGGCCUACAAUCUUUUGAAUAAAGUUCAUCCUUAGCUGCAAAUAAGAUGCAUAUAUCAUAAUCAUGUCUAUGAUCACUGUCCCAAAUUUCCAUCAUUUAUUCAGUAUGGAGUAGUUUCCUGCUGCUCUUCAUUGUCUGGUUCUUUUGCUAAUUCAUUUUGUUAAAGAGCAAAGAACAUGCAUGUAAAAUUGUAGAUCUUACACGAAUAAAUAUGUAAAAAAGUUUUGCAAUGUUUUAUAUGUAAAUGCGUCUUUUUUCAUCAGCAUAUUUUGACGGCGUCGCUUGGAAUAAUGUAGUAUUGCGUAGACUCGUGUAAUCUUGUUUUUAAUCAGGAAAAUGAAGUCCAGGUUGAUGAAAUUAAUCACAUAUUGAAACUUUGUUUCUUUUUUUGUCCUUUUUUAUUCAGAAAUGCCAUGGCCUGCAAUGCCAGCACCCAGACUUUGGAAUCUCAGGUAUGUUAAGUGAUGAUAUCCUCAUCAUUUUGACCAUUAUUUAAUUUGAUCAAUUUCAAAUAAUAGAUUGGACAAGUGGGUGAGAAGAAUUGACUUUUUAUGAGCACUAUUUAGGUUAAUCUGUGAAACAGUUCUUAUUUGGUCAAGAAGGCGGAUGGGGGAUAAAUUGGUAGAAAGCGUUAAUGAAUCCAUUAAUCAGCUAAGCAGGAACUCGCCAUAACAUGGUUGAUUAUUGAGUUAGAAUUAGGCAUGUUUGUUGUAUUUUUGCAAAUAAAGUUUUCGUUGACAAAUUCUUUCCAUUCAUUUACUCUCCCAUCCUAACUUUCCUUACGCAGAUUGGCAAGUUUGAAGAAAAAUCAGAGAGAAGCACCUUUCAUAAGCAGUAUGUAGUAUUAACGAAUGAAAAAGUAGUUAGAGCUAGCGAAUUUGAAAGCAAUGGAGGUUUGCGACUAAAACUAAGACUUGUAGGCCUUAUUUGGACAUCAGAAUAUGUUAUCCAAUGAUUACUUAUUCAGUUUGAAGAUUUUGUCAUCCACGAUUUGGUAGGAAGUAAUAUUUCACCUACCAGCUAUGAGAUGAUUUGCCUUAUUCCGUAAAAAAUGAAUUAAGAAGAUACCAAAGUAGGGUCGGACUAACUAACCCCUUUGAGCACAGUUAGAUAUCCGCAGUUUUAUAAGAAAGGUUCGAUACCUAGCUAUGUCAAAUUGGUUUACAGUAAAGCAAUAAGACUUGUUCUUUACUGAAUUAGUGGUGUGAAUUAGUGGUCAUGUACCAAAUUUUACUAACAUUUCACUCUACAGUAUGCAAUAGUUUUCAUAUCUUAAUCGCAAUGCUACGGUGUUUGAUGCGCUGAAUUACUGGUAUUUGGCUGAUAUAUAUAUAUAUAUAUNCAUACCUAGCAGCUAAGCCUUCGAGAUAGUAGCUUUUGCUAAAUAUUCAUGCUCUCGCUAGCAUGAGUAUUAUCAUAUCAUCAGCCUGGGAUAUAUCCGACACCGAUGAUAUGAUAAUACUCAUAACCUCGAGAGCAUGAAGAUUCAACAAAAAAAACUACUUCGAAGGCUAAGAAAAUAGGUGAGGCAAUUUAUACUAGAUCUCAUAAACUAUGAAGAUCUUUAACAGUUUAAAGCACUGAAAAACUUUAGCAUUCCAUUUAAGACAGCUUGCUAAUAUUUUAAACGAAAGAUCUUUAAAAUUGACGACAGGUAUUGUAAAUUCCUACUACCUUAGCAAGCUAAGCCUUCGAGAUAGUAGCUUUUGCUAAAUACUCAUGCUCUCGCUAGCAUGAGUAUUAUCAUAUCAUCAGCCGUUAAAUGUUAUUUAUAGCAUUUAAAACUUCUAGAAAUCAAAUUUUAUAAUUUUUCGACAUCAUUUACCUUACGAUCAAGAGGUCACAAAUUUGACAAUUUUUAAUGGCCGGUAUGGGAUACUUGCUAUUUUAACGGUGUAAAAGAAUCGAAAUUUGUUGAAUUUUGAUACAAAAUUUUAUUCGCUAUCUAGAUAAAGAUCAAUAACUCUGAUCUUGAAUUGAAGGAUUCGAUCAUCCUUUUUUAGGACGUCGUUCGAUUUUGACUGUUUAUUUUAUGCUCGUUUGAUGGACUUUAUUAUGAUUUCGAAAAUUUACGAAAUUUAUUUUCUAGAAGUUUCAAAUACUCUAGAUCAUAUUUAACGGAGUGGAUCGUCGAUUUGGAAGCUUCAUCAUAAAAAACAAUUUAGAAGUACGAGAGCUCCAAUACUCAUAAUAGUAUAGUAGCCACGGCCUAUAUAGGGUCCGACUACUAUACUAUUAUGAGUACGAUCUGCCACAGCCCGCGACCACCCGCCUAUUUGGCUGAGGUCCCGGAGCCGCCGACAUCGCCGAAUGGACAGGGUUUCUCCUGUACUACGGACAGAGUCUCCCCUGUACAUUCAAGGCAUCGCAACCAAUACAAUUCACGAAGGUUCCAACCAGAAACAGAUAUCAAUCAAGAUUGCAAGUGGAAGGUAUCAUACAACAUAAACACAUCCUAAGUUAUUACAUUCAUUCACUUUCAUAGUUUUUAUAUUAUAGUUUCCAUUCUUUUUCAUCCAAAUGCAAUCUAAGUUAUUACAACAUUUACUUACUACAAGUUUGAUACAUUGUAUUCUUUUCAUUUCCUUUACCCCUAAGCUAUAUAGACGGGAUACUGCUAGCUCUGGUCUCUGGGGUAGGGCGCUAUCUGCAGAACUACGCCCUCGCCUUGCGCCGCCGCGCUGCACAUGUGUGUACCUGUACCCUCAAAACAGCAACACGGGGGUGAGACUAUUGUCCAUAGUCCUAAGUGGGUUUAGUCACCCAAGAGAACCAGCUCAACCAACAGGUCUAACGAGGCACUGCAACAUGUUAGUUCAACAAUAUACAACAGAUAUAUAUUCAAUUGAAAUACAUGUCAUGCCUCACGAAAUGCAAGAUGCAAUACCUGUAAUCAUGUAAGUAGGGUACUUUAACGCUACUUAUAUUCUUAAUCAUUCUUUACCCUUGUCAUUUAAUGUUUACUUUUAGCUCUUAGCUAUUCUUUACUUGUAACCUUUCUUUACUUUAUCAGCUAUUCUUAUUCCUUAGCCGAUCUUUAUUCUUUACUUAUUCUUUAUUCUUUACUUAUUCUUUAUUCUUUAUACUUUGUUGCACUUUUCCACUGGCCAUUCUUUCCAAAGGUUUCUCUUACCUUAGUUCUCUAUGCCAUUCGAUUCGGUCUUAAGUCAAUCAAUCGCGGAUAGUCCGCGCACUGUCUAGCUCGAGGUGAAGGAACUCACAUGCACCUCAGCUGGCAACAGCUCACCGUACUCCUGUCCUAGUCGUCUGGCGGCGAACGAAUCGCACCUCACCCAACAACGGCCUAGGUCCAUGACUUAGCCACCCGGCGGCGAAAUCGUCGCACAAACGCCAUGACAGUGGUUCAGUCAACAGGCGGUAGGAUUCACAAACUGGCUAACCAUCCGGCGGCGAAAUCGUCGCACACACCAUGACAGAGGUUCUUUAGCCCUUGGGCGGCGAAAUCGUCGCACACACCCAACACCACUUUGGGUGUAUCCUUUUAGCCUUGGGAUUCCGGAAUCCAUUUCACAUCACAUAGGGGUUGGUCUUAACCCUAUGGAACUGACCUCUCUAGGUCUAAGCUUUUACUCAACCUAAGUUCACCCAUUAGGUUUAUUGCUUUCACCUUCUUAACCUAGGUUUAUUAUAUUAGGAUCAUUAUUCUUUCCAACCUAGGUUCACUUGACUCUAGGUUAAGUACUUUUCAUUUCACGACCUAUAUUUAUUAACACUAGGUUGGAUGCCACUCGAUCUAUUUGAUUUUAGAUCUACUCCUGACCUAUGUUCCUUAACACUAAGUUAGAUGCCACUCGAUCUAAUUCACAUACUAAUUGUCCAAUUAAGCAUUCUACUUAUUCUAGAGUUAUCAAUUCUCAUUUUCCAAUGUUAUCUCUCUAAUCAAGCUAGAGUUAUCAACCAAGUUCAUAUGCAUAUAUAAUCUCACAAUGCUAAGCAUGCAUCUAUGAUCUCACAAUGCUAAUCACGCGUUUAUAAUCUCAUAUAUCAUUUAUAUGCAUCUACUUAGCAUUUACAUCAUUCUAUAAACAUGCAUCAUAUAACUUGCUCAUUAUGCAUUCUAGCAUUUCUACAUUACAUUAUUUAGCAUUAUAUAACUUGCUCAUAAUGCAUUCUAUUUAGCAUUUACAUCAUACUAUCAACAUGCAUUAUUUAGCUACAUGCAUCAUUUACAUGCUUCAUUUACAUUUAUAUGCAUCAACAUGGAUUCUUAGUUUCUUAGACAUAAAGGCGAGCCUAGUCACUUUGGUAAACACAACCCACCUUAAUUCGCGUUCCGAUUGCUUGUCGACACUUGCAAUCGGCCUCCCGCGGACCCGUAUCCGGCACGGCCCGAUACUGCAACUGCGCCUCAACCGUGCUCCGCUUCGCAGUCCCGAAAAUUAUAGGUCUUCGGUUAUGUGCCACGAUGCCUCAAAUCCAUUUCCAUGAUUUUACGACGUCGCCUCGGCCUUCCGGCGGACCCGAAGCCUAAACGUCUAUUUCUUUAAUAACUUUGUAACGGCUCGUCGGAUUGCCGAACCGUCUUCGCCAACGCGUUUCGUUCCUAGCAAUUAGGUUUACGAAGGGUCAAAUGAGAUCAAACCCUCAUAUUUUGAAAGUUUGCAUUUUGGAGCCCUAGGUUACAACUAUGCAAGAAAAUCACUAAAUUGAUUCAUGAUUCAAGCUUAAUAUCUAGAUAGCAUGCUAGACUCCUCUAAAUCCAUUUAUAAGGUAUUUAAACCAAGCAUUAAAGAUCUACCAUUAGAGGGCUCAAGAAGCUCACCUCAAAAUGAGCUCAAAACCAUGGAGAAGAUGAAGAAGACGAAGCGAUCCACCUCCAAGCUUCAAUCUCACCAAAUCCAUCUUUUGGGAGAGAUUUAGAGAGAGAAGAGAGGCUUCUCUCUUCCCUUCCAUGCGUGUGUGUGUGUGUGUGUGUGCGCGGUUUGGGCUGCUACGGCUGGGAGGAAGAAGAAGCAAAAGGGAUUUAAUCCCAUUUUACCAUUUUGCCCCUAAACUACACACUAUUCACUACGGGUAGCUCAAAUCUGAUAAAUUUGGUUGGACCCUUCCGGAUGUCCGUUUUCGCUCAAAUUUGACAGACAGGCUCAAUUUAACGUACCGAACAAGAAUAUAUUAAGUUUCAGUUUCGACUCCGUUUGGUUACCGAAAACUAUGCCGACUGCAAUCUUUAUCAGAUAGCUUUCGGAUUUUAUUUCUCACUCUACGGGUGUCAGAAAAAUAUGAAACUUUAAAUCUAGCCUCAUAAAAAUAUUUCUGACAUCCCCGCCUAAUUUUCAUAAUUUUCUGAGACUGUACAUUUUCUGCUAAUUUAUCAGUCCCUUUUCCAACAGAAAAUUCUAAAUCUUCUGUUUUCGCUCCGAUUUCAGCACAGGUCGUUCCAACCGAUAUUUCACUUCUCUAAAUCCAAUAAAAUAGUAUCUCAUACUAUUUUUAUUUAUUUUUCUCUUUUAUAUUUAAAAUUCGGUAUGUUACACGAUCGCUCUCGCUACUCAUAAAUCGUUUUUGAUGAUAGAGCUUCUGAAUCGAUGAUCCAUACCGUUAAAUGUAUUUACAGCAUUUAAAACUUCUAGAAAUUAAAUUUUAUAAUUUUUCGACAUCAUUUACCUUACGAUCAAGAGGUCACAAAUUUGACAAUUUUUAGGCCGUAUGGGAUACUUGCUUUUACGUGUAAAAAAUCGGAAUUUUUGAAUUUUGAUAGAAAAUUUUUAUUCGCCACAUAGAUAAGAUCAAUAACUCUGAUCUUGAAUUGAAGGAUUUGAUCAUCUUUUUUAGGAUGUCGUUCGAUUGACCGUUUAUUUUAUGCCCGCUUGAUGGACUUUAUAUGAUUUCGAAAAUUUACGAAAUUUAUUUUCUAGAAGUUUCAAAUACUCUAGAUCAUAUUUAACGAAGUGAAUCGUCGAUUUGGAAACUCCAUCAUCGAAAACAACUUAGGAGUACGAGGCUCCAAUACUCAUAAUCUCAUAAUAGUAUAGUAGCCACAAGAAUUAUAUACAUUAUAUAUAUAUAUAUAUAUAUAUACUACUUAUAAAAGCGUGAGUUUUGAAUUUUUUCCUUUCCAAAAAUGCAUCUAUUAUUUUUACCAAUAUUGUCAUGUCCAGUAAUUUUCAACUAUCGAUUUUAAAUAAAUCUUUAAAUAAUAAUUUAUUCUCAAAUAUAGAUUUUAAGUUUUCACCAUUAGAUCUCAUCCAAUGAAUAAAAAUAAAAAUAUCUGUCAUUUUUGUUGACAAAAAUACUCUCCAUAUUCGUUAUCUCCUAUGUAUGCAGCGUUUCUUAAAUAUUCUUUUUCUACCCACCAAUCAUUUAAUACGUAAAACUAAAUUUAUCUCUUAUCUAACGUAAUACUCGUCAAUCACGUAACAGCUAAUCACGUAAUACGUAAAAUUAAAUUUAUUUCCUAUUCACGUAUUUUUUUCAAAUAUUUUUUUCUUAUCAAACAUAAUACCUAUCAACACAUAGUAUUCAAAAUUAAAUUUUAAAUUUGUAAUGCCCGCCAAAAUUUAAUACUCGCCAAUUUGAUAAUUUGUAUUUUAAUUUAUGAUAGUAGAUUUUUUCUUACAUAAGAUAGUAGAUUUAAUUUUGACGAGUAUUAAAAUUUGAUGUGCCAUAGAAAAGUUAAAUAUUGUUAAAAAAAUUUUAAUACCCCUAAAUCAAAACUAAAUCAUUAAUAAAAUAUAAUUUUAAAUAUUUUUAGCAAAAUAUUUAAUAUUUAAAUAUUGCAUCAUAAAAGAGUAGAAUAUUUCUAAAAAAAAUAAUACACGCCCAAUAAAAACUAAAUCGUUAAUUAAAUAUAAUUUUAAAUUUUUUAGCAAAAUAUUUAAUAUUUAAAUAGUACACACUAAAAUAUUCUCGGUGUUCUCAAAUAUAAAAUAUAUUUUAUCCAUUUUAAAUAAAUCAUUCUCAAAUAUAGAUCUUAAGUUUUCGGCAUUGGAUUUCAUUCAAUGAAUAAAAAUAAAAGUAUAUGUCAUUCAUAUCCGUUAUCUCCUAUCUACGCGUUUUUCAAAUAAAACUAAAUUUAUAUCUUAUUUAACGUAAUACCCGCCAAUCACGUAAUACCUCCGCUAAUUACGUAACAAAUUAAAUUUAUUUCCUAUCCAAGUAUUUUUUCAAAUAAUUUUUUUUUUCAAACGUAAUACCUACCAGUAUUCAAAAUUAAAUUUUAAAUUUGUAAUUCCCGCCAAAAUUUAAUACCCGCGAAUUUGAUAAUUUAAAUUUUAAUUCAUGAUAUUAGAUUUUUCCUUAUAUAAGAUAGUAAAUUUAAUUUUGACGAGUAUUAAAAUUUGGCGUGCCAUAGAAGCGUUAAAUAUUGCUAAAAAUAUUUUAAUAUCCCAAAUCAAAACUAAAUCGUUAUAAAUAUAAUUUUAAAUAUUUUUAGCAAAAUAUUUAAUAUUUAAAUAAUGGUCAUAAAAGUGUAGAAUAUUUGUAAAAAAAUUAAUACCUAUCCAAUCAAAACUAAAUCGAUAAUUAAAUAUAAUUUUAAAUUUUUUUAGUAAAAUAUUCAAUGUUUAAAUAAUAUCCACCAAAAUAUUCUCCGCAUUUUCAAAUAUAGAAUAUAUCUUAAUACCCUCGCAUAUAAUAUCUACACUACCCAAUCUUAUCUUAUCAUAAUAUUUAUUACACAAUAUAUACAUCAUAUCAUAUUUUUUUUGUAUUUUUUAUUUUCAGCUAUACGUUUCUUAUAUAUAAAGUAUAUAUUUUUUUAAUAGUAUCCAUUUUUAUUUUUAUCUAUAUUUUUCUUAAAUAUUUUUUUAGUAAUAUCUUUUCUCAUUUGUUACAGUCAUCGUCCUACUCAUCAUUGUUUGUGCCGGUAUAUUGUCGCGUUCGCCACCUUCGUCAUAAUUAAAGAGGUAUUUUAAUUCCAUUUGAAAUUUUUUCUUUUUUUUAAUAUGCCUUUAUACUAUUUUAGUUUUUUUUUUUCGUUUUUUCUUAUUUUCAUAUAUACUUUUCUCAAAUAUAAAAUAUAUUUUUUUAGUAAUAUAUAUUUUUAUUUUUAUCUAUAUAUUUUUUAAAUAUUUUUAAAUUUUUUUGUAAUAUACUUUCUCAUUUGUCCCCAUUGUCAACACUGGUACAUCGUCAUCAUCAUCACCAACGCCGACACAUUAUCGCCUUCGCCACCUUCACCGCCUUCGCACAAUUGAAGAGGUAUUUUGAUCCUAUCUGAAAAUUUCUCUUUUUUUAAUAUGCCUUUAUACUGUUUUAGUAUUUUCUUUACAUUUUUUUUAUUUUUACUAUUAUUUUUCUUAAAUAUUCUCAAAUAUUUUUUUAAUAAUAUUCUUUUUUAUUUAUCUCCGUCAUCAACGCCGGUAUAUCAUCACGUCACUGGCGUCGGUACAUUAUCGCCUUUGCCAUAGUUAGAGAGAUAUUUUGAUUUCAUCUGAAUUUUUUUUUUCUAAUGUGCCUUUAUAUUGUUUUAGCAUAUUUUUUUUAGUAUUUUCUCAUUUUUACCUAUAUGUUUUUCAAAUAUAAAACAUAUAUUUAUUUAGUAAUAUUCUUUUUUAUUUUUACCUAUAUUUUUCUCAAAUAUUCUCAAAUAUUUUUUUAGUAAUAUUAUUUUUCAUUUGUCCUCAUUGUCGGUACCAGCACAUCGUCAUCAUCUUCCUUAUCGUUAUAGUCGUCAUCGGCGCUGACACAUUGUCGCCUUCGCCACCUUCUAUACUACUACUAAUUUCUAUACUAUUUCAGUUUUCUUAGAUGUUGUAGGAAUGGUUGUUCAAAUCAAUCACUUUUUCUUUCUAUGGUUGUUAAUCCUUCUAAACGUGAAGGUAAAGUGUUUCUCUGUUCAUCAUUUCACAUGAACAAAUUAUUAAUAACUAAUUAUUUGGAUGGAUUAAAGUAUGAAUCGAAUUAGAUUGAUCAUCUAGGACAAGAUAGUGCUAACAUACAUUGGCAUGAAAAAAUUAUUAAUAACUAAUUAUUUGGAUGGAUUAAAGUAUGAAUCGAAUUAGAUUGAUCAUCUAGGACAAGAUAGUGCUAACAUACAUUGGCAUGAAAAAAUUAUUAAUAACUAAUUAUUUGGAUGGAUUGAAGUAUGAAUCGAAUUAAAUUGAUCCUCUAGGACAAGAUUGUGGUAACACACAUUGGCAUGUAGAGAGACGUUAUUGCAAACAAUUCAAUUGUUGUAUUAAAACAGUUCACGUUAAUAUCGAUAAUUAGAAUAAAUGUACUUUUUAAUAUUUUAUUUUUUCUGUAGUAUUUUAAAUUUAUUUAUCAGGAUCAAUUUAUUUAGCAAAGUUUUGCGAGUAAAAUUGUGCUUAAUCCACCUAUUCCAAAAACUCAAGAAAUAAAAUUAAGGUAAAAAUUUUUAUUUACUUAUAUGAAUUCUUAUUAAAUUUAUAUUUUUUAUUAAUUUUAUCUAUUCCGAUGAUUUACUAAUAUUUACUUAUUAUUUUUCUUACUUUCAGUGCAAUUUUGUACGGAAGGGAGACUGAUGGUGCCAUUUUCACAAAUUUUGUGUUUUUUUUUCAAUGAUACCAUGAUAGAUUUUGUAUUCUUUCUUUGAUGAUAUUGUAAUUCUAUUUCUUUUUUCUGAUAUUUUAUUUUGGUAAUGAUUAAAUAUUAUAUAUCGAAUCUAUAAUAUUUAUUUAUAAAAAUUUUAUUUUUUAGUAUUUGUGCGACGUGUAUUGCACGUGCACUUAGCUAGUAUAUAUAUAUAGUUGAGCUAGAAUGCUAUCGAUAGCAAACGAGCUCUGUUGCCACCCAUUUGUUUUCGAUGAUAGAGUUUUCAAAUCGACAAUUGGCACCGUUGAAUAUGAUCUAUACCACUUUAAGUGUUUAGAAAUCAAAUUUCAAAUCUAUAUACCGGCGGUUUAGAACUGUUAUAAUAAUUAGUUAAAACCAUCGCUAAAAUAUAUUUUUGUCAACGCGUGUUAAAUAUUACUAAAAUAAGUGUCGCCACAAAUCAACUUUUACUACAACAGAAUUAAGUUAUAGGGAGACAUUUUUGUGUAAGUGUUCUAUUUAUGCCAAAUUUUUUUAAAAAAAUCUAUUAAGGCCUAAAUAUAAAGCCCAAUACAACUAAAAAUAAAAAUUUCUCUUCUCAACCAACCCCAUCCUGCUAGAGAUGUCAACGGGUCGGAUUUGGGGCGGAUUUUUAAAAACCCGAACUCGAACCCGAACCCGAACUCGACGGAUUUUAAAAAUUCAUAUCCAAAUCCGAACCCGACCAAAAAUUCGAAAUCCGAAACCUGAAUCCGAACCCGAAUUCGAAAAUUUGAACCCGGAACAAUUAUUAUUUUUUCAAUAUUUCAAAAUAUAUUAUAUUAAAUCUAAAUUUUUAAAAUACAAAUUCAAAUAUAACAUCAAAAAUAUAUAUAUAUAUAUAUAUAUAUAUAUAUAUAUAUAUAUAUAUAUAUAUAUAUAUAUAUAUAUAUAUAUAUAUAUUAUAAAAAUAUAAUAGUAUAUAUAUAUAUAUAUAUAUAUAUAUAUAUAUAUAUAUAUAUUUUGAUGUUAUAUUUGAAUUUGUAUUUUAAAAUUUAGAUUUAAUAUAAAUAUUUUGAAAUAUUGAAAAAAUAAUAAUUGUUCCGGGUUCAAAUUUUCGAAUUCGGGUUCGGAUUCAGGUUUCGGAUUUCGAAUUUUGGUCGGGUUCGGAUUUGGAUAUGAAUUUUUAAAAUCCGUCGAGUUCGGGUUCGGUUCGAGUUCGGGUUUUUAAAAAUCCGCCCCAAAUCCGACCCGUUGACAUCUCUAGCAGGAUGGGUUGGUUGAGAAGAGAAUUUUUAUUUUUAGUUGUAUUGGGCUUUAUAUUUAGGCCUUAAUAGAUUUUUUUAAAAAUUUGCAUAAAUAGAACACUUACACAAAAAUGUCUCCCUAUAACUUAAUCUCGUUGUAGUAAAGUUGAUUUGUGGCGACACUUAUUUUAGUAAUAUUUAACACGCGUUGACAAAAAUAUAUUUUAGCGAUGGUUUUAACUAUUAUUAUAAACAGUUCUAAACCGCCGAUAUAGAUUUGAAAUUUGAUUUCUAAACACUAAAGUGGUAUAGAUCAUAUUCAACGGUGCCAAUUGUCGAUUUGAAAACUCUAUCAUCGAAAACAAAUGGUGGCAACAGAGCUCGUUUGUAUCGAUAGCAUUCUAGCUCAACUAUAUAUAUAUAACUAGCUAAGUGCCGUGCAAUACACGUCGCACAAAUACUAAAAAAUAAAAUUUUUAUAAAUAAAUAUUAUAGAUUCGAUAUAUAUAUUUAAUCAUUACCAAAAUAAUAUCAGAAAAAAGAAAUAGAAUUACAAUAUCAUCAAAGAAAGAAUUACAAAAUCUAUCAUGGUAUCAUUGAAAAAAAAACACAAAUUUGUGAAAAAUGGCACAUCAGCGUCUCCCUUCCGUACAAAAUUGCACUGAAAGUAAGAAAAUAAUAAGUAAAUAUUAGUAAAUCAUCGAAUAGAUAAAAUUAAUAAAAAAUAUAAUUUUAAUAAGAAUUCAUAUAAGUAAAUAAAAAUUUUUACCUUAUUUUAUUUCUUCUUGAGUUUUUGGAAUAGAUGGAUUAAGCACAAUUUUACUCGCAAAACUUUGCUAAAUAAAUUGAUCCUGAUAAAUAAAUUUAAAAUACUACAGAAAAAUAAAAUAUUAAAAAGUACAUUUAUUCUAAUUAUCGAUAUUAACGUGAACUGUUUUAAUACAACAAUUGAAUUGUUUGCAAUAACGUCUCUCUACAUGCCAAUGUGUGUUACCACAAUCUUGUCCUAGAGGAUCAAUUUAAUUCGAUUCAUACUUCAAUCCAUCCAAAUAAUUAUUUAUUAAUAAUUUUCAUGCCAAUGUAUGUUAGCACUAUCUUGUCCUAGAUGAUCCAAUCUAAUUCGAUCAUACUUUAAUCCAUCCAAAUAAUUAGUUAUUAAUAAUUUGUUCAUGUGAAAUGAUAACAGAGAACACUUUACCUCACGUUUAGAAGGAUUAACAACCAUAGAAAGAAAAAGUGAUUGAUUUGAACAACCAUUUCUACAACAUCUAAGAAAACUGAAUAUAGUAUAGAAAUUAGUAGUAGUAUAGAAGUGUGCGAAGGCGACAAUGUGUCAGCGGCCGAUGACGACUAUAGACGAUAAGGAAGAUGAUGACGAUGUGCUGGUACCGACAAUGAGAACAAUGAAAAAUAAUAUUACUAAAAAAUAUUUGAGAAUAUUUGAGAAAAAUAUAGGUAAAAAUAAAAAAGAAUAUUACUAAAUAAAUAUAUGUUUAUAUUUGAAAAACAUAUAGUAAAAAUGAGAAAAUAACAAAAAAUUGCUAAAACAAUAUAAAGCACAUUAGAAAAAAAAAUUCAGAUGAAAUCAAAAUAUCUCUCUAACUAUGGCAAAGGCGAUAAUGUACCGACGCCAGUGACGUGAUGAAUAUACCGGCGUUGAUGACGGAGAUAAAUAAAAAAGAAUAUUAUUAAAAAAUAUUGAGAAUAUUUAAGAAAAAUAAUAGUAAAAUAAAAAAAAUGUAAAGAAAAUACUAAAACAGUAUAAAGGCAUAUUAAAAAAAGAGAAAUUUUCAGAUAGGAUCAAAAUACCUCUUCAAUUGUGCGAAGGCGGUGAAGGUGGCGAGGCGAUAAUGUGUCGGCGUUGGUGAUGAUGAUGACGAUGUACCAGUGUUGACAAUGGGGACAAUGAGAAAGUAUAUUACAAAAAAUUUAAAAAUAUUUAAAAAAUAUAUAGAUAAAAAUAAAAUAUAUAUUACUAAAAAUAUAUUUAUAUUUGAGAAAAGUAUAUAUGAAAAUAAGAAAAACGAAAAAAAAACUAAAAUAGUAUAAAGGCAUAUAAAAAAAAGAAAAAAUUUCAAAUGGAAUUAAAUACCUCUUUAAUUAUGACGAAGGUGGCGAACGCGACAAUAUACCGGCACAACAAGAUGAGUAGAACGAUGACUGUAACAAAUGAGAAAAGAUAUUACUAAAAAAAUAUUUAAGAAAAAUAUAGAUAAAAAUAAAAAUGGAUACUAUUAAAAAAUAUAUACUUUAUAUAUAAGAAACGUAUAGCUGAAAAUAAAAAUACAAAAAAUAUGAUAUGAUGUAUAUAUUGUGUAAUAAAUAUUAUGAUAGAUAAGAUUGGUUAGUGUAGAUAUUAUAUGCGAGGUGUAUUAAGAUAUAUUCUAUAUUUGAAAAUGCGGAGAAUAUUUGGUGAAUAUUAUUUAAACAUUGAAUAUUUUACUAAAAAAUUUAAAAUUAUAUUUAAUUAUCGAUUUAGUUUUGAUUGGAUAGGUAUUAAUUUUUUUACAAAUAUUCUACACUUUUAUGACCAUUAUUAAAUAUUAAUAUAUUUUGCUAAAAAUAUUUAAAAUAUAUUUAUAACGAUUUAGUUUUGAUUUGGGAUAUUAAAAUAUUUUUAGCAAUAUUUAACGCUUCUAUGGCACGCCAAAUUUUAAUACUCGUCAAAAUUAAAUUUACUAUCUUAUAUAAGGAAAAAUCUAAUAUCAUGAAUUAAAAUUUUAAAUUAUCCAAUUCGCGGGUAUUAAUUUUGCGGGAAUUACAAAUUUAAAAUUUAAUUUGAAUACUGGUAGGUAUUACGUUUGAAAAAAAAUUAUUUGAAAAAAUCUUGGAUAGGAAAUAAAUUUAAUUUGUUACGUAAUUAGCGGAGGUAUUACGUGAUUGCGGGUAUUACGUUAAAUAAGAUAUAAAUUUAGUUUUAUUUGAAAAACGCGUAGAUAGGAGAUAACGGAUAUGAAUGACAUAUACUUUUAUUUUUAUUCAUUGAAUGAAAUCCAAUGCGAAAACUUAAGAUCUAUAUUUGAGAAUGAUUAUUUAAAAUGGAUAAAUAUAUUUUAUAUUUGAGAACCCGAAUAUUUAGUGUGUAUAUUUAAAUAUUAAAUAUUUUGCUAAAAAAUUUAAAAUUAUAUUUAAUUAACGAUUUUUUUUAUGGGCGUGUAUUAUUUUUUUUAGAAAUAUUCUACUCUUUUAUGAUGCAAUAUAUUAAAUAUUAAAUAUUUUGGCUAAAAAUAUUUAAAAUUAUAUUUAUUAAUGAUUUAGUUUUGAUUUAGGGGUAUUAAAAUUUUUUUAACAAUAUUUAACUUUUCUAUGGCACAUCAAAUUUUAAUACUCGUCAAAUUAAAUCUACUAUCUUAUGUAAAGAAAAAAUCUACUAUCAAUAAAUUAAAAUACAAUUAUCAAAUUGGCGAGUAUUAAAUUUGCGGGCAUUAAAAAUUUAAAAUUUAAUUUUGAAUACUAUUGUUGAUAGGUAUUAUUUGAUAAGAAAAAAUAUUUGAAAAAAAUACGUGAAUAGAAAUAAAUUUAAUUUUACGUAUUACGUGAUUAGCGUUUACGUGAUUGAACAGUAUUACGUUAGAUAAGAGAUAAAUUUAGUUUUACGUAUAAAUGAUUGGUGGGUAGAAAAAGAAUAUUUAAAGAACGCCUGCAUACAUAGGAGAUAACGAAUAUGGAGAGUAUUUUUGUCAACAAAAUGACAGAUAUUUUUAUUUUUAUUCAUUGGAUGAGAUCUAAUGGUGAAAACUUAAAAUCUAUAUUUGAGAAUAAAUUAUUAUUUAAAGAUUUAUUUAAAAUCGAUAGUUAAAAUUACUGGACAUGAAAUAUUGGUAAAAAUAAUAGAUGCAUUUUUGGAAAGGAAAAAAUUCAAAACUCACGCUUUUAUAAGUAGUAUAUAUUAUAUAUAUAUAUAUAUAUAUAUUAUAUAUAUAUGCUGUGGCUACUAUACUAUUAUGAGAUUAUGAGUAUUGGAGCCUCGUACUCCUAAGUUGUUUUCGAUGAUGGAGUUUCCAAAUCGACGAUUCACUUCGUUAAAUAUGAUCUAGAGUAUUUGAAACUUCUAGAAAAUAAAUUUCGUAAAUUUUCGAAAUCAUAUAAAGUCCAUCAAGCGGGCAUAAAAUAAACGUCAAUCGAACGACAUCCUAAAAAGAUGAUCAAAUCCUUCAAUUCAAGAUCAGAGUUAUUGAUCUUAUCUAUGUAGGCGAAGAUAAAAAUUUCUAUCAAAAUUCAAAAAAUUCGAUUUUUUACACGGUAAAAUAGCAAGUAUCCCAUACGGCCUAAAAAUUGUCAAAUUUGUGACCUCUUGAUCGUAAGGUAAAUGAUGUCGAAAAAUUAUAAAAUUUAAUUUCUAGAAGUUUUAAAUGCUGUAAAUACAUUUAACGGUAUGGAUCAUCGAUUCAGAAGCUCUAUCAUCAAAAACGAUUUAUGAGUAGCGAGAGCGAUCGGUAACAUACCGAAUUUUAAAUAUAAAAGAGAAAAAUAAAUAAAAUAGUAUGAGAUACUAUUUUAUUGGAUUUAGAGAAGUGAAAUAUCGGUUGGAACGACCUGUGCUGAAAUCGGAGCGAAAACAGAAGAUUUAGAAUUUUCUGUUGGAAAGGGACUGAUAAAUUAGCAGAAAAUGUACAGUCUCAGAAAAUUAUGAAAAUUAGCGGGGAUGUCAGAAAUAUUUUUAUGAGCUAGAUUUAAAGUUUCAUAUUUUUCUGACACCCGUAGAGUGAGAAUAAAUCCGAAAGCUAUUCUGAUAAAGAUUGCAGUCGGCAUAGUUUUCGGUAACCAAACGGAGUCGAAACUGAAACUUAGAUAUAUUCUUGUUCGGUACGUUAAAUUGAGCCUGUCUGUCAAAUUUGAGGCGAAAACGGACAUCCGGAAGGGUCCAACCAAAUUUAUCAGAUUUGAGCUACCCGUAGGUGAAUAGUGUGUAGUUUAGGGGCAAAAUGGUAAAAUGGGAUUAAAUCCCUUUUGCUUCUUCUUCCUCCCAGCCGUAGCAGCCCAAACCGCGCACACACACACACACACACACGCAUGAAGGGAAGAGAGAAGCCUCUCUUCUCUCUCUAAAUCUCUCCAAAGAGAUGGAUUUGGUGGAGAUUGAAGCUUGGAGGUGGAUCGCUUCGUCUUCUUCAUCUUCUCCAUGGUUUUGAGCUCAUUUUGAGGUGAGCUUCUUGAGCCCUCUAAUGGUAGAUCUUUAAUGCUUGGUUUAAAUACCUUAUAAAUGGAUUUAGAGGAGUACUAGCAUGCUAUCUUAGAUAUUAAGCUUGAAUCAUGAAUCAAUUUAGUGAUUUUCUUGCAUAGUUGUAACCUAGGGCUCCAAAAUGCAAACUUUCAAAAUAUGAGGGUUUGAUCUCAUUUGACCCUUCGUAAACCUAAUUGCUAGGGAACGAAACGCGUUGGCGAAGACGGUUCGGCAAUCCGACGAGCGUUACAAAGUUUAUUAAAGAAAUAGACUUUAGGCUUCGGGUCCGCCGGAAGGCCGAGGCGACGUCGUAAAAUCAUGGAAAUGGAUUUGAGGCAUCGUGGCACAUAACCGAAGACCUAUAAUUUUCGGGGACUGCGAAGCGGAGCACGGUUGAGGGCAGUUGCAGUAUCGGGCCGUGCCGGAUACGGGUCCGCGGGAGGCCGAUUGCAAGUGUCGACAAGCAAUCGGAACGCGAAUUAAGGUGGGUUGUGUUUACCAAAGUGACUAGGUCGCCUUUAUGUCUAAGGAACUAAGAAUCCAUGUUGAUGCAUAUAAUAUAUAAUGAAGCAUGUAAAUGAUGUAAUGUAGCUAAAUAAUGCAUGUGAUAGUAUGAUUAAAUGCUAAAUAGAAUGCAUUAUAUAGCAAGUUAUAUAAUGCUAAAUAAUGUAAUGUAGAAAUGCUAGAAUGCAUAAUGAGCAAGUUAUAUGAUGCAUGUUUAUAGAAUGAUGUAAAUGCUAAGUAGAUGCAUAUAAAUGAUAAUAAGAUUAUAAACGCGCUGAUUAGCAUUGUGAGAUCAUAGAUGCAUGCUUAGCAUUGUGAGAUUAUAUAUGCAUAUGAACUUGGUUGAUAACUCUAGCUUGAUUAGAGAGAUACAUUGGAAAAUGAGAAUUGAUAACUCUAGAAUAAGUAGAAUGCUUAAUUGACAAUUAUAUGUGAAUUAGAUCGAGUGGCAUCUAACUUAGUGUUAAGGAACAUAGGUCAGGAGUGAUCUAAAAUCAAAUAGAUCGAGUGGCAUCCAACCUAGUUUAAUAAAUAAUGAGGUCGUGAAAUGAAAAGUACUUAACUAGAGUCAAGUGAACCUAGGUUGGAAAGAAUAAUGAUCCUAAUAUAUAAACCUAGGUUAAGAAGGUGAAAGCAAUAAACCUAAUGGUGAACUUAGGUUGAGUAAAAGCUAGACCUAGAGAGGUCCGUUCCAUAGGGGUUAAAGACCAACCCUAUGUGAUGUGAAAUGGAAUUCCGGAAUCCCAAGGCUAAAAGGACUACACCAAAGUGGUGUUGGGGUGUGUGCGACGAUUUCGCCGCCCCAGGCCUAAAGAACCUCUUCAUGGUGUGUGCGACGAUUUCGCCGCCGGAUGUUACACAGUGGUGAUCCUACCGCCUGUUGACUGAACCACUGUCAUGGCGUCUUUGCGGCGACGAUUUCGCCCGCGUGUAAGUCAUGGACCUAGGCCGUUGUUGGGUGAGGUGCGAUUCGUUCGCGCAGACGACUAGGACAGGAGUACGGUGAGCUGUUGCCGACUGAGGUGCAUGUGAGUUCCUUCACCUCGAGCUAGACAUUGCGGCGGACUAUCCGCGAUUGAUUGACUUAAGACCGAAAUCGAAUGGCAUAGAGAACUAAGGUAAGAGACCUUUGGAAAGAUGGCCAGUGGAAAAGUGCAACAAAGUAUAAAGAAUAAAGAAUAAGUAAAGAAUAAAGAAUAGAGUAAAAAUAAAGAUCGGCUAACGGAAUACAGAAUAGCUGAUAAAGUAAAAGAAGGUUACAAGUAAAGAAUAGCUAAAGAGCUAAAAGUAAACAUUAAAUGACAAGCGUAAAGACAUGAGUUAACAUAUUAAGUAGGCCGUUUAAAGGUACCCUACUUACAUGAUUAGCAGUAUUGCAUCUUGUCAUUUUCGUGAGGCAUGACAUGUGAUCUUCAAUUGAAUAUAUAUCUGUUGUAUAUUGUUGAACUAACAAUGUUGCCAGUGCCUCGUUAGAUCCCUGUUGCGGUUGAAAGAAGAACCUGGUUACUCUUGGGUGGACUAAACCCACUAGACUAUGGACAAUAGUCUCGACCCCCGUGUUGCUGUUUUGAGAGGUACAGGUACACACAUGUGCCAGCGCCGGCGGCGCAAGGCGAGGGCGUAGUUCUGCAGUUAGCGCCCUACCACCAAGACCAGAGCUAGCAGUUAGUCCCGUCUAUAUAGGCUUACGGUAAAAGGAAAUGAAAAGAAUACAAUGUAUCAAAUUGUGUAAGUAAAUGUUGUAAUUAACUUAGAUUGCAUUUGGAUGAGAAAAGAAUGGCGAAACUAUAAUAUAAAACUAUGAAAGUGACAUGAAUGAACUACUUAGGUGUGUUUAUGUUGUAUAUGAUACACUUGCCAUAUAUAUUAUGAUAUGAUAAUCUGUUUCUGGUUUGGAACCUUCGUGAAUUGUGUAUUGGUUUGCGAUGCCUUGAAUGUACAGGGAGACUCUGUCCGUAGCUACCAGGAGCAAACCCGUGUCCAUUUCGGCGAUAGUCGGGCGGGUCCGGGACCUGCAGCCAAUAGGUCGGGUGCGUCGCGGGCUGUGCAGAUCGGUUAGCAUCAAGUGAGUAUAGUUACGUCGGACCUUAUAUUAGGCCUGGCUACUAUACUAUUAGUGAGUAUGUGGAGCUCUCGUAUUCUAAAAUUGUUUUUAUGAUGAAGCUUUCCAAAUCGACGAUGCACUCCUUAAAAUGAUCAUAGAUAUUUGAAACUUCUAGAAAAUAAAAUUCUCGUAAAGUUUUGAAAUCUAAUAAAACCCGCUCCAUCAAACGAGCAUAAAAUAAACAGCAGUCCAAAAAUCCUGAACGACUCGUCCUAAAGAACAGCGCUGUGGUAUGAUCGAAUCACCCCUUCAAUUCAAGAUCACGAGCAGCUUACUUGAUCCCUUUACUCUACGAUAGCGAACUAAAUUUCUGUAUCAACAUCUCUCAAACAAUAAUUUCGAUUCUUUCUACACGUACAAAUAGCAAGUAAUUCACAACAUCACGGCCAUUAAAACUUGUCAAACUGUGACCUCAUUGAUCGUUAACGGUAAAUGAUUCCGAAAAAUUACUCAAAAUUUGCACUUCUCUACGAAGUCUUUAAAUGCUAUAAAUACCAUCUUAACGGUUGGGAUCGUCGAUCGGGAAGCUCAUAUCGAAAACGAUUUAAUAAGUACGAGGAGCGAUCGUACAUAUAAUCAGUAUAGUAGUCGGAACCCUUAUAGGCCUGUGGCUACUAUACCUAUUCAUGUAGUAUUGGAGCUCUUACUUCUAACGUGUCAAAAUUCAACAAAUCCGAUUCUUUUACACCGUUUAAAAUAGCAAGUUAUCCACAUACAUUAAAACUUGUCCAAAAUUUGUGCACCUCUGACUCGUAAGGUACAAUGAUGUUCGACAAAAUUACUCAACAAUUGAUUUUCUAGCAAAUUUUAAAAUGCUUGUAAAAAAAAUUAAAAAACAUUUUUUUAAACGAUAUGGAUCGUCGAUCUCGGAAGCGCUCUAUCAUCGACGAAUCAUCGAAUAACAGAUUUUAAUGAGUCGAAAGCGAUCGUAUCAUACAUAGUAUACUAGUCGAAGCCUAUUAUAUAUAGUAUUAUAUAUAAUUAUAUAUUAUAUAUAAUAUUAUAUAUUAUUAUAUAUAUCCAGCCAAAUACCAGUAAUUCAGCGCAUGCAAAACACCGGUAGCCUGCGAUUAAGAUAUGAAAACUAUUGCAUACUGUAGAGUGAAAAUGUAGUAAAAUUUGACAUACCACUAACACACCACUAAUCAGUAAAGAACAAGUCUUUAUUGCUUACUGUAAAACCAAUUUGACAUAGCUAGGUAUCGAACCUUUUUUAUAAAACUAGCGGAUAUCUAACUUGGCUCAAGGGGUUAGUUAGAAUACGACCCUACUUUCGGUAUCUUCUUAAUUCAUUUUUUACGGAAUAAGCGCAAAUCAUCUCUAGCUGGUAUGGUGAAAUAUUACUCACUACCAAAUGCGUGAUGACAAAAUCUCAAACUGAAUAAGGUAAUCAUUGGAUAAGCAUAUUCUGAAUUGUCCAAAUAAGGCUCAACGUCUUAGUUUAGUCGCAAACCUCCAUUGCUUUCAAUUCGCUAGCUGCUAACUACUUCUUUGCAUUCGUUAAUACUACACAUACUGCCUUAUGAAAGGUGGCUUCUCUCUGAUUUUCUUCAAACUGCCAAUCUGCGUAAAGGAAAGUUAGAUGGGAGAGUAAUGAAUGGAAAGAAUUUGUCCAGACAGAAAACUUAUUGCAAAAUACAACAAACAUGACCUAAUUUAACUCAAUAAUGCAACCUAAUUUUUAUGGGCGAGUUCCGUGCUUAGGCGGGCUGAUUAAUGAUUCAAUUAACGCUUUCUACCAAAUUUAUCCCCGCAUUCCGCGCUUCUUGACCAAAUAAGAACUGUUCCACAGAUUUAACCGCUAAAUAGUGCUCAUAAAAAGUCAAUUCUUCUCACCCACUUGUCCAAAUCUAUUAUUUGAAAUUGAUCAAUUAAUAAUGGUCAAAAUGAGAGGAUAUUCAUCACUUUAACAGUACUGAGAUUCCAAAGUCUGGGUGCUGGCAUUGCAGCCAUGGCAUUUUCUGAAUAAAAAAGGAUCAAAAAAGAAACAAAGUUUCAUAUGUGAUUAAUUCAUCAACCUGGACCUUCAAUUUUCCUGAUUCAAAUAACAAGAUUACACGAGUCUACGCAAUACUCAUUUAUCCAAAGGCGACGCCGUCAAAAAUAGCUGAUGAAAAAACCAGACCAUUUACAUAUAAAACAUUGCAACUUUUUACUAUAUUUAUUCGUGUAGAGAAUUCUACAAUUUGACGAUGCAAUUUCUUUGCUCUUUAACAAAAUGAAAUUAGCAAAAGAACCAGACAAUGAAGAGCAGCAGGAACCUACUCCAUACUGAAUAAAUGAUGGAAAUUUGGAACAGUGAUCAUAGACAAUGAUUAUGAUAUAUGGCCUCUUAUUUGGCACGGCUAAAGAUGAACUUUUAUUCAAAAGAUUGUAGGCCUCUGUUCUGCUAUGCAAAACAGUUUUUUCCCUUUUUUUGUUUUAUCAGACGAGUUCUAUGCAAUUAAAUGCAUUGCCAAAACAUUUAAAAACUAUACAUCUAUGUCUUUUUAGUGCUGGUGAAAGAAAGAACAACUCUUUCCAACUUCUAUCUUUUGCUACAUGUGACAAUCAAAAGAGUAAAAUUUCUUCUCAUUUCACAUUCAAAAAUUAGGUCAAAUGAUUCAAUUUGCCAGCAUAAUUUCUGCCAUAGAAAGAAGUUCACCACCGACUAAAAAAUACUUAGACGCAAGAAAUUACACCCAAUCACUUCGCUGUACGCUAUAAGCAAGAAGGGCGGCAUAUCCUUAAUAGUGUUUUUCCAUAGUGAAAGAGGAACUAGUUACUACCUUAUCGUACACUAUUUAUGCGAAUAAGUGACAAGGCCUAUUAAAAUUUUGAUUUCUACUAACUAACUUAACUCGUAUUUANNNNNNNNNNNNNNNNNNNNNNNNNUAAUUAAGUUAAAAAAUAAAGAAUUAGGAGGAGUUCAAUGAGAAUUUGAUAAAAAAAAAUAAAAAAAGAAAGAGAAAAAACCUGAUUUGUGAAUGAAAAAUGUAACUCUUGACAAAACAUCUUACAAAGAAGAUCCAUACAUUAGAAUAAGUAGGCAUUAUAAUAACCAUGGAAUAAAUUAAAUCUUGCAUAUAAAAUCCACUCCCAAAUACCAACUCAAGCGCCACUAUGCUCCUCACGCCGCAGUCCCGGCGCAGCGCUCGUAGGGCGCCUCCCCGAACCAGUUGCCGGGCGGUCGUAAUUACAGGUGAUGAUGACGCCGCCGCCGGUUGCACUCGACGGCGGCGCAGCCGACGCGCCUCCGGUGUUGUUCCCACGAUCUGGGUGAAGUGUCCGCAGACCUGUCCGGCGGCGAGCACGAGUUGUUGGCGGGGUUGUAGAACGCGUGCUCCUCCGCCCAGUUGAGCACCACGUCGGUCGCCUUCCAGUCCACCCGGUGCCCAGAACAAGUUCUCUCCGUACGGCCCCUCGAGUGCUCCAUGGUGCAAUUGCUGCGCAGCUGGUCCGACCACCGCCGCGGUACCGCGCCAGAUGCUGGUCCAUCGGAUGGCGUCGCCCCACCAACGCAGCGAAUGCGGUUUGUGCGCCAUCAAGAACUCCCGCGCCAUGCUCCUGUAGUACCCCGGCCGUUCGUGAAGGACACCGGCCUGAAGACGCCAUUGAAUGGGUUCGGCAGCGUCGGCUGGCUGGCGUCGGGCGGAGGAGGGAGUAGUCGGAGGUGGAGGUGGAGUGGGAGGAGACGGAGGGGCAGUGGGGGUGGAGGGCUGAGGUAUUGGGAGCGGAGAGGAGGAAGGAGGUGGACGAGACGAGGAGGAGGAAGAAGAGAGCGCGGGGCUCGCCAUCCCUCGUUGGGCGAAAAGGAUGGAGAGAGGAAUAUGAAGAAGGGGAGGAUGGGAGAGGUGAGAGAAGGUUGUGAGUUAAAAUUAAUCGAUGAUGCAUGGUUGUGUUUUUUUUAUUCCCUAGAAUGAAAUGGGUGGUGGUAACGACGAGGCUUUUGUUUAGGCCGGGAAAUGCGGCACUGCGUACAUUGACUCGUUUAACUUCAUGCAAAAAAAUUGUGCUAUUAAUGUAUCCUACACUCUUUGAUUCACACGUCGUGUCGCCACUCUUUGAUUCGUUUGUUAUAAGGCGCUCAAUCGACUAAUUUUUUGGACAAAGCCCUACUUUGUGCCUGGGUUGUGAUACGAUAGAAUAAUAUAUAUUCAACCUUGAGUAGCACUUAUUAUAAAAAACACUAUAAUAAAAAUAAUGUAUAGCGAAUACUUUUAAUAUAUGGUACAUGUAAAAAAAAAUAUUAUUGGCUAAAUUACCGACACUUUUUAAAAGUGUUAUUACAUUUGGGGUCGCUAUAAAUUAGCGACACUUUAAAAGUGUUAUUACAUUUGGGGUCGCUAUAUGUGGCCGCCUUAAUGUUUGGCACCCACUUCUUCAGCGAACUAGGGCAGAGGACACGUAGUGAUCGUAGUCCUCUACUGUCCCUUCGAGAUCUUCGCAGUCGAACUCCAACACCAGAACCCUACCUCGUCCGCUGCGACGCGAAGGAGGAGAAUAGCAUAUGGUGAUCAAAUUUUCUUUUCUUUUUUUUCUAUCUGUAAUCGAGCCGAAUGGGCUGGUGUUAGGAUAGUCAAUAGGUAUGGAGGAACCCGAAAUUUUAUCCGAACCCGAACCCGAAUGGAACGGAUAUAUCUGAUGGAUAUGGAUAUGGAUUCGGAUAUGAAUUUUGAUUGUACCCAACCGAACCGAACCCGAACCCAACCCGAACCUGAAUCCGAUUAUUUUGUGAUGAUAUAUAUAUAUAUAUAUAUAUAUAUAAUACAAAAUAAAUUCGGAUUCAGGUUCGGGUUGGGUUCGGGUUCGGGUUCGGGUUGGGUACAAUCAAAAUUCAUAUCCGAAUCCAUAUCCAUAUCCAUCAGAUAUAUCCGUUUCAUUCGGGUUCGGGUUCGGAUAAAAUUUCGGGUAUCCAUACCUAUUGACAUUCCUACACCCAGCCCAUUCGGCUCGAUUACAGAUAGAAAAAAAAAGAAAAGAAAAUUUGAUCACCAUAUGCUAUUCUCCUCCUUCGCGUCGCAGCGGACGAGGUAGGGUUCUGGUGGUUGGAGUUCGACUGCGAAGAUCUCGUAGGGACAGUAGAGGACUACGAUCACUACGUGUCCCUCUGCCCUAGUUCGCUGAAGAAGUGGGUGCCAAACAUUAAGGCGGCCCACAUAUAGCGACCCCAAAUGUAAUAACACUUUUAAAAAGUGUCGCUAAUUUAUAGCGACCCCAAAUGUAAUAACACUUUUAAAAAGUGUCGGUAAUUUAGCCAAUAAUAUUUUUUUUUACAUGUACCAAUAUUUAAAAGUAUCGCUAUACAUUAUUUUUAUUAUAGUGUUUUUUAUAAUAAGUGCUACUCAAGGUUGAAUAUAUAUUAUUCUAUCGUAUCACAACCCAGGCACAAAGUAGGGCUUUGGUCCAAAAAAUUAGUCGAUUAGAGCCCUUAUAACAAACGAAUCAAAGAGUGGCGAACGACGUGUGAAUCAAAGAGUGUAGGAUACAUAUAAUAGCACAAUUUUUUGCAUGAAGUUAAACGAGUCAAAUGUACGCAGUGCCGCAUUUCCCGGCCUAAACAAAAGCCUCGUCGUUAACCACCACCCAUUUCAUUCUAGGGGAAUAAAAAAAACACAACCAUGCAUCAUCGAUUAAUUUUAACUCACAACCUUCUCUCACCUCUCCCAUCCUCCCCUUCUUCAUAUUCCUCUCUCCAUCCCUUUUCGCCCAACGAGGGAUGGCGAGCCCCGCGCUCUUCUUCUUCCUCCUCCUCGUCUCGUCCACCUCCUUCCUCCUCUCCGCCUCCCAAUACCUCAGCCCUCCACCCCCCACUGCCCCUCCGUCUCCUCCACCUCCACCUCCACCUCCGACUACUCCUCCUCCGCCCGACGCCAGCCAGCCGACGCUGCCGAACCCAUUCAAUGGCGUCUUCAGGCCGGUGUCCUUCACGAACGGCCGGGGGUACUACAGGAGCAUGGCGCGGGAGUUCUUGAUGGCGCACAACCGCAUUCGCGCGUUGGUGGGGGCGACGCCACUCCGAUGGGACCAGCAUCUGGCGCGGUACGCGCGGCGGUGGUCGGACCAGCUGCGCAGCAAUUGCACCAUGGAGCACUCGAGGGGGCCGUACGGAGAGAACUUGUUCUGGGGCACCGGGUGGGACUGGAAGGCGACCGACGUGGUGCUCAACUGGGCGGAGGAGCACGCGUUCUACAACCCCGCCAACAACUCGUGCUCGCCCGGACAGGUCUGCGGACACUUCACCCAGAUCGUGUGGAACAACACCGAGCGCGUCGGCUGCGCCCGCGUCGAGUGCACCGGCGGCGGCGUCAUCAUCACCUGUAAUUACGACCCGCCCGGCAACUGGGUCGGGGAGCGGCCCUACGAGCUCGCUGCGCCCGGGACUGCGGCGUGAGGAGCAUAGUGGCGCUUGAGUUGGUAUUUGCGGAGUGGAUUUUAUAUGCAAGAUUAAUUUAUUCCAUGGUUAUUAUAAUGCCUACUUAUUCUAAUGUAUGGAUCUUCUUUGUAAGAUGUUUUGUCAAGAGUUACAUUUUUCAUUCACAAAUCAGGUUUUUUCUCUUUCUUUUUUUUUUAUUUUUUUUUAUCAAUUCUCAAUUGAACUCCUAAUUCUUUAUUUUUUAACUUAAUUAAUUAUGAUGGGAUCCCUACCGUCUAUAAUAAUAAUAUAAUUCUAUUAUGUUUAACAGAAAUGGAUAUGUGGACUUUCAACAGAACAUUAAAUUUCCCCAAAACCAAAAAAACAAAACCGACAACAAAAACAAAAAAAAAAACACGAUCAAUCAAAGGCCAUACACUACAACAAAAACGGUCUAUGGUGACACUUUUAAAUAUCGGUACAGGUCAAAAAAAAUACUGCUGGCUAAAUUACCGACACUUUCAAAAAGUGUUGCUAUAUGUGGGGUGGCUAGGAAUAUAGUGACAGUUAAAGAGUGUCGCUAUAACCUAAAAGAGUGCUGCUAAUUUACAAAUACUUAUUUAAGCAUUUAGCAACCACCGAAACUCUACCUUGUCGCUGCGGUGGCGGAGGAGGACGAGAGGGAAGGGCUCUUCGUCUAGAAUUUCAGUGGAUUGAGUGAGGGGAGAAGAAAAGAUGGUAAUCGAUUUUUCUUUUUUUCUUUUUUUUCUUUUCUGUUUGUAAUUGAGCCGAAUGGGCUGGGUGGGGUGCGUUGAGUAUAGUAACCUUUUAUUUUUGGUUGGAUUGUGCUUUAUAUUUAGGCAUUAGUAGAUUUUUUUAAAAAUUUUGGUAUAAAUAGAACACUUACACAAAAGUGUCCCAAACAUGUGUCCCUAUAACCUAAUUCUGUUGUAGUGAUAGCAGGUACGCGACGAUCUCCAUCAAAAGUAAUAGAGUUUUAAAUAUAUAUAUAACCUUAUAAUUUUACCACCUAAUAUUUUAACUUAUUUGAUCUAUGUCAUUCCAUAGCUCAUCCUCUUUAAAAUUUAGAUGUACCAUUCCUUUCAACAAAAGCUCAUUUGGAACAUCUAGUGUAACCCAUACAACUACAUUCACAAUUCAAAAGCAAUGCACACAAUUUUUUUUUUUUUUUUUGAGAAAGGGGUAGCACGCUACCCGCUUCAUUCAUUGAAAGUAUGAACUAGGCUACAUGGGUGAUAUAACCUGGGUCUCGAGAGAGCGAGGAAAAAAAAAAAAAAAAGGCGCAGGGGGGGGGUUAGGAAGGGGUUUGCUUUGCUGGAAUAAGAAAAUCCCACUCCGACUGUAGCUGUUUAAGCUUGUGUGCUACUAACAUAGGAUUCGGUGGAAUAUUUCUAAAGAUCAUAUCAUUUCUUGCCUUCCAAAUAGACCACCAGCAUCCUACCAAUUCGGAAAAGCUGCUUCUCGUCUUAUGGCAUCCCUUCCUAUCCAUCCACGGGAUCCAAACUAGAAUUACAUCGUUUCCCAGGUCCCUUGCCUCUGCGCCGUCCACUCCCGUCGCGAUGAUAAACUUGCUGAACACACACCGCGUGAACAGCUGGUCCACUGAUUCCUCUUCCGCUCCGCAAAAUACGCAAUCUAAGUUUCCCACCCACCCACGCUUCACGAGUAAAUCAGUUGUAGGGAGCCUCUUCUUGAAAACGAGCCAACAUAACACUUUUACUUUAAGGGGAAUAUGGAGUCUCCAAAUCUUGCUUAUAGAAGGGGCCCUCAUUUCCCCGUCAGAUAACGCUAAAUAGGUUGUAUUUACCGAGAAAAGUCCGUUAGGGCUCCAACGCCAAUAUAACUGGUCCGGCCUUUGCUCAACUGUGAAGUAGUAUAUCCUUUCCUUGAAUUCUACAAUGUUAUCAUUAAUCCCAACAAAAAUUUCGGGCUCUGCACCCAGAAUCCUAUGCCAGUUCCAAUUGUCUCUCAUGAAGCAAUUCCUGACUUUAAAUUUUUUUCGCUCAGACAUCUGAUAGACCUCGGGGAAUGCUAGGUCUAGCGUGGUCUCCCCACACCAGCGAUCUAGCCAAAAGUCGAUAGAUUUCCCAUUGCCUAGUUUAAAAAUGGCUCCCUAUUUGAAGAUGACGCUUAGAUUAAGGACUCCUUUCCACAAGUGAGAGUGUGGCCUAAAAGAUUUGCUUUCCAUCAAAGGUCUCCUCCUUUGGUAAUAUAGGUCCCGGAUUACUCUAUUCCACUGCAAUUGGGGAGCCGUGUGGAACUUCCACCACCAUUUAGUUAGUAGGGCAUGGUUCAUGGUCAUUACAUCCAGGAUGCCUAGGCCCCCUUCUCUCUUGCUCUUACAAACGUUCUUCCAAGCUAUCAGACAUCCUUUGCCAGGAGAGUUACGUCCCCCGUUCCAAAAAAAGUCUCGACGGAGAGCUUCGAUACGCUUUAUCACCCAUUUAGGUGCCUUGAACACCGAAAGAAAAUAGAGUGGGAAGUUUGUUAGAAUAGCGUUUGCUAGGAUAAGUCUACCCCCCCUAGAGAGUAGUUUGGCCUGCCAACCAUCGAUCUUGCACUGAACUUUCUGAAUGAUGCCCCUCCAGUCCUCCUUAGAGGGGGGUUUGGGAGGGAGAGGCAAGCCCAGAUAUUUGGUCGGGAAGGAGCCAACGCGGCACUCGAGUAAAUUUGCUAGAGUACUCGCUUUUCCUUCUAUAUGUCCAAGGUAGUACAAUUCGGACUUUUCUUUGUUGAUUUUCAUUCCCGAAGCCCAUUCGAAGAGUUGCCAGACAAAUCUGAGGUUUCUUAUAUAUCUCCUUUUGGCCUCGCAAAAGAAGAAGGUGUCAUCCGCAAAUUGAAUGAGAGAGGUCUUGCUCGCGUCUGACGGCCCGAUACCUUUGAAGAGGUUGUUACGUAGUGCCUCCUUAGUCAAGCGGGCCAAACACUCCGCCACCAUCAAAAAAAGAAAAGGAGAGAGCGGAUCCCCCUGCCGUACUCCUCUUUUAGUCUUGAUCUAAUUGGUCGCCUCUCCAUUAACAAGAAUAGCGACUUUCGCGUGGCACACACACAAUUCUAUCCAACGGCACCACUUGUCGUCGAAUCCCCACCACCGCAAUAUACGAAAAAGAAAAGGCCAGUCUAUCCUAUCAUACGCCUUUUCGAAGUCUACUUUUACAUCGACACCCUCAAUAGCUUUCUUGCUACCCCAUCCGAAGAGUUCGGUCACAGUUACAUACGCAUCAGUAAUGUUCCUCCCCUUUAGAAAUGCUGACUGUGACGGGGAGAUCAGGUAGUCCAUGACCAGUUCGAGACGAUUGGCUAAAACCUUAGACAAGAUCUUUUGAAUUCCGUUCAGUAAGCUAAUAGGACGGUAGUCAUUGGCCCGUUUGGCCCCCUCCUUUUUAGGAAUAAGACAUAUGAAAGUAUAAUCGAUCGGAGCAGUGGACAACCUUCCCUCAUACAUCUCUUGGAAUAAGCUAAAGAUAUCCUCCUUGAGAGUGUCCCAAAAGGUUUGGUAAAACCGUAAUGGAAAACCAUCAGGGCCUGGCACCAUAUCGCUCCCUCGUUGGAAAACCGCUUGUUUGAUUUCGUCAAUGUUGAAGCGAUCAGUUAUCCUUAUAAGGUCUGGGGCCGAAAUGCGGUUUGAAUUGAAGAGGCCACUCCAAUCUCCAACUAUAGCAGGGCCCGAUUUAUCCGGCGUGAAAAGUGUCUUGAAGAAAAGAUAGAAGUAAUUCUGCUUGUCCUCUUCGGAAUGAUACUGAACACCGUUAUCAAUGAUCAAGCCGAUCGUGUUGGCUCUAUGUCUGCCAUUGGCUACAGAAUGGAAGAAUUUAGUGUUGCUGUCUCCCUCUUUUAUCCAAUGUUGUUUAGCCCGGGUUCGCCAGACCGAAGCUUCAUCGUUUAGAACUCCGCGUAGCUUCUUCUUAAGUUCCGCUCUUUUCGACAGUAAGUCCAGUGUGAGGUCCCCCAAUUCUUCAGCUUUGUCGAUAGAUUGAAUUUCGUCCAUUAGGAAAUUCUUUAGUCUUCUUAUACUGUAGAAUUCGCUAGCACACCAUUCUUUGAUCCUUUGGCGGCAGUGUCUCAAUUUCGCAGUGAAAGUAAGCACGGCCGACUUAGCCGAUGUACCCUGGGCACCCUCCUUCCACCAAUCCGGCAGUUUCGAAAUGAACCAUUGAAUUGAAUGGCUCAGAUUUUGAAACAAAAGAGCCAUUGAAUUGAAUGGCUCAGAUCAAAUAAAUUGAAAAAUUAGGUACUAAAAUUAAAAUUUUUUAAAAGAAACGUAGCAUAAUAACAACAAGACCUACGGAGUCUUAGUUCGGUAAUGCGGCAGCUAAAAUUACUUCUUUUUUCUUUUCUUUUUUUUUUUUUUUUUUUUUUUUUUUUUUUUUUUUAAUGCUUUUACGCUUUUGAAGGAUAUAAAAAUCCGACGCGUAUUCAUGCUUCCCUUCUUUUAUGCCAUAAUCGACCGUAUUACCAAACUAGCCCCAAGUCUUUCUCCGGCAACUCCGGCAGCAUGAAGUAAAACAAGUGCUUUGCUAAAAUAAAUAAAAGACGACGAAUUUUCCGGCAAAUUCAAGCCUCGACACAACAAUUUGAUUCAAGAAACACAAAGGAAAAUGCUGUGUUCGUCAAACAAAGUCUUCUUAAUUUGGCCCCACAGUUGUGCAUUAAUUAAAGAAAUAAGAAGAAGAUGGUAGGUUUUGGCAGAUAAUUGAAGUUCAUUGAUUGAGCUCUCACCAGUAAGACCGUAAAUUCUGAGCGUCCAGAAAAGCCCAAUAAACCUGCAGCCUGCAGGUUACCUUAGGUGAUCUUGAAUUUCGAUUUAGCGACAAAUGAUGUAACUGAAGAAGUUGCUCUUCCAUGUCCUGAUGCGUAAUUACUCCUCCAUUGAGUCGCCCUCAGUAACUUCCACCUUCGGCUUGAGUAGCUUAGUUUUGGUUGCCAAGACCUCUGCAAUGAAUACAUACAAAAAGACUCUAGUUACAAAGCCAUUCUCUUUUGGGUAAGUUGCACCACGGGUCUGCCAGCUCUUUCUUGAAUUACAAGUUAGUCCUCGAUUUCUAAAUUUAAGAAUUUAACAUCCCCAAUCACAUACGUGUUACAUUAUAUAUAGUCAUUCCUGUCAAAAGGCCAAAGCUUAAGGUAAUGCGACUAAUGGAAACGCCAACAUGGCUACUACAAAUCCACUCGACAUCUCAGCUAAUUGCGAUGGUGAAAAUGCGUAGAGAACCCUUCAACUAUAGGCCAUUCUGAAAUAGUCCCCUCCACUCAACUUUUUUUUUGGAAUCAAGUGAUUUUAAUCAAAAAUAGGAAAAAAAAAAAGAGAGGAAAUUUUAUUAAAUUCAUUGAUGAUUCAGCAAAUUUAAUGACUUUAAUCAUAGUUUAGCAUAUAAAACUAGACCAAUUAAAGGCUAGUCAUUAGAUUUGAUAAGCUAUUAUAAUUAAUUAACUAUAAAAACUCAUAAUAAAGUGAAGAAGUCAAGGGCAUCUCAAUUUUAUUGCUUUUAUGUUAGAAUUACAAGCAUAAAAAAAGCAACGGGGCAAAAAAAAAGGUUUGCAAAAAUUUAAUUGAUUUCUAACUAGCACAAAAAAAAAAGGUUUUUAUCUUGGAUUUAGAAGAACCAAAAUCUGUAGAGAAUGCAAAGAAGAAAAUAAAAAAGACCACGUUUUUGGUGUGGCAGUCGGAGAAGCCGAGAGAUCAAAGAUGGGAGGUGCAGUGGGGAGGAGAUGAAGGGGUUGUGGAGCACAGAGAAAAAAGGAGGGCGAUGGAGUGUUGAAACGGCGACGACGAGCGCGCGGACGGGAGCUGCAGACAGGCCAAGAAGAGGGCGGAAGGUGAACAUGAAACAAAGGGAGGCUCGGAGUCGGAAUCGGAAUAGGAAUCAAAAUAAGUUGGAAUCGAAAUCGGAAUGACUCAUUACUUAAUUCUGUUUGGUUUAUUACCUGAAUCAGAAUCAAAAUAAAUCAUUUUCAUUGUCGGUGUUUGGUUCAGGUGGAUAUAAAAAACGUAAUCAAAUUAAUAUACUAACAUUAUAUUUAUAAUAUAUUAAUUUAAAUUCAAAUUAAAUAUUAAAUAUUAAAAAUUUACAUCAAAAUUUUGAAAUAAUGAUAAAAUUUUAAAUCUAUUUUUUUAAAAAAAUUUAAACUUUAAUUGAAGUUGAGUGGAUAAUUCAAAAUAUGAAACUAAAUUUUGAUUUAUUCAAAUUCAAACAUAAAAUUAGAAUUUUAAUUUUAAUUUGAAUCCAUAAAUUUAAUUUAAGUUUGAAAUAAAAUUUGAAUAAAACUUUAUAUAAAUUAAAAUUUAAUUUAAAUUCAAAUUCAUAAGUUAGAUUCGAAAUACUUGAUUAAAUUUUAANUAAAAUUUACAAUUAUAUAUAUUUAAUUUUUAAAUUUUAACUCAUAUUUUAAUUAAAAAAUUAAAAAAAUAAAUUUAAUCCGAAUAAAUAUCCAUUCCGUCCGAAUUCAACUUCCAAUCCGGCCUUCUAGGCCGGAUUGAAAAAAGGGGUGAUUGGGGGAUUCCCAUUCCACUCGGGAAUCGGAAUCGGAAUGGAACUUCCGCGUACCAAACACCCACAAACGGAUUCACCCAUUCCGAUUCUGAUUCCAGGAUAAAAAAGGAGCGAACCAAACACGCCCUAAGAGUAAAGGUAAAGGAAUUUUACCCUUUUUUUUUACUUAUUUAUUUUUAAUAUAUAAAAAGAUAAAAAUAUCCAACUAUUUACUCAUAGCCUAUUGAUAAUUGAAGGGCAUAAGAGUUCAACAAAAAUAAAUAUGGUGCUGGUUGGUGAAAAAAAAAAGGAGAGAAGUAAUGACGGGGCAUAUGAGAAAUUUUCUCGGCGACAAUUGUCGCCACUAUUGCUUAUGUAUUGGCGGCGACAAGUUUAUGUCGCCACCAUAUCUUUUACAUCAGUGGCGACAAUGAUUGUCGCCACAAAAAUGUCGCUACCAAAAUUCCUCUUUCUUGUAGUGAAACCUGGGAACUUGUAGAUCUACACCCAGAUAAAGAAGCUAUCGGCUUAAAGUGGAUUUACAAAACCAAGAGCAAGCCCGACGGAUCCAGUCAAAAAUUAAAGGCUAGAAUUGUUGUCAAAGGGUAUUUACAACGAGAAGGUAUUGAUUUUUCUGAAACAUUUGCUCUAGUUGCUCGUUUUGAUACAAUAAGAACAGUUUUGGCUCUUACGGCUCAAUAUAAAUGGAAAGUUUUUCAACUUGAUGUUAAAUCUGCAUUUUUAAACGAUUUUUUGGAUAAUGAAAUUUAUGUUAAGCAGCCUCAGGGAUAUAAAAUUAAAGAUAUAAAGUAUAGACUCAAAAAGGCAUUGUAUGCACUCAAACAGGCGCCGCAGGCUUGGUAUAGUCGAAUUGAUGCCCAUUUUCUUCAAAAUGGUUUUAGCCGAAUUGAAAGUAAGCCUACACUUUAUGUGAAGAGCCAAGGUACAGAAGUUUUGAUUGUUUGUCUUUAUGUUGACGACUUAAUAUAUAUUGGUAAUUACUCUCAGAAAAUGAUUGAUAAAUUUAAGUCUCAUAUGGUGCGAGAGUUUGAAAUGACGGAUCUCAAUUUGAUGAACUAUUUUUGGGUCUUGAAGUUGUAUAAUCAGAUAAAGAAAUCUUUAUUUCUCAAAAGAAGUACAUAUCUGAUUUACUUGACAGAUUUGGUUUCAAGGAUUGUAAUUCAGUGGCAAAGCCGAUGGGAACAAAUUUGAAGUUGUCGGUUAAUGACGGUGCUAAAAAAGUUGAUGCCAAUAAUUACAGAAGUCUAAUUGGGAGUUUACUAUAUGUGAAACGCACGAGGCCAAAUAUUUUAUUCUCCACAAGCUUGCUUUCUCGGUUUAUGCAAAAUCCGAGUAAAAUCCAUUUGGGUGCAGCAAAGCAGAUUCUAUGAUAUUUGAAGGGGACUAGUGGCCAUGGAUUAUGGUUCACUAACUCUAACGUUUUUUCUUGUUUUGGUUUUUCUGACCGUGAUUGGGCAGGUUCUAUUGACGAUCGUAAGAGUACAAGAGUACAAGUGGAUAUGUGUUCAAGCUCGGUUCAAAUGCGGUGUGUUGGUUCUCAAUAAAAACAACACACGACGGCGUUAUCUUCUUCUGAGGCCGAAUAUAUUGCGGUUACUGGUGCAGCUUGUCAGGCAAUUUGGUUGCGACGAAUUUUAUGCGAUCUGAAGCAGAACCAAACGGACUAGACAGUCAUCUACUGCGACAACCAAUUUGCGAUCGGCAUGACAAAGAACACAGUGCACCAAAAUCGCACCAAGCAUAUCGAAAUUCGAUACCAUUUUAUUCGAGACCAGGUGGCAAACGGCAAUAUCGUGUUGAAGCAUUGUUCGAUUGAUCAGCAACUAGCAAAUAUUUUCACUAAGUUAUUACCAGUGGAGAAAUUCGUUUGGUGUCGUGAAGGACUUGGCGUCAACAAGUUUGGUCUUACAGAGGCGUGUUGAAGAUAAGACCAAACUAUUUGUUAGGAAAUUAGUUACUUAAAAUAAUUCUUUAUUUGUUUAGUUUGAUAAACAUGUGUUAGUUGGGUUGUUAAUCAAUUUGUUGGAUUGUUAGCAUUACUACCUAUUUAUAUUGGUAAUCAUCUAGGCCAUUAAUGUAUCAGAGAGGACCCAUCAAUUGAUUCAGUUUCUUCAUAGAGUAAUGCUUCUAUUUUUUUUUUUUUUUGUUACCGUUCAUUCACGCAUAUUCAACGGCUUAAAUUUAGUUUUUUUAAAAUUGUGACCUACAAUAGCAGGUCACUUUGGGAGAGGUACCGGUUACCAGGUAUCUCAAAAAAAAGUAUUUUUGUCUUUUAAUACAUGAGCAAUUUAGUCAUUUUACUUCUACUAUAUUUUCAAAAUUUUUAUUUUCUCUUUGUUUUCUUUUUCUCUCUUUAUCUUUCCUUUCAUAAUUUGGCAUUUCAUAUAAGAAAAUUUUCAAAUUAUUUAACAAUAUGAUCUUUUAAUUUUUCUUUUCUCUUUGUUUAUUUGUUUAAUAUUUCAAAUGAGUUUAAUUUUAAGAAACUAUGCAUUAAAAUUUCUUCUCAUAUCUAUUGCUUUCUAAAUCUUUUUUUAAUAAAAUAAGAAUGAAAUUUAGAUUAUUUCGUGAUUUAAUUUGUUAGAUAACUUGUUGAAAUUUGCGAUGGCUAAUGGAUCAGAAAACAUUAAAUUUUUUUAGUUUUGAUAGUAAGAACUUUUAAAUUCCUAUAGUAAUAACCUUAUAUUUCUAAUAAAUUAUCUACAUUAAAUUUUUUAAAUAGUAAUAAAGAAUUAGUAUCUAAAUUAGAAAAAAAUUAUUAAAUUUUUUUAAACAUAUUAAAUUUGUUGAAUUUAAAUAUUUGCCCAUAUUUAAUUUUUUAAAAUUAGUAUACAAAAUUAAUGACUAAGAUGAAUUCAUAAUUUUGUUAAACGUAUUAAAUAUGUUAAAUUUAAAUAUUUACCAACAUUACAAAUAUUUUUAAAUAGUCAUACAAAAUUAAUGUCUAAAGUAGAACAACUCUAAAUUUUUUUUAACAUAUUAAAUACAUUUAAAUUAUAAAUUUUUUAACCUACAUUCAAAAUUUUUUAAAUAAGUGAUACAAAAUUAAUGUCUAAAAUAUAGGAAUUUAAAAGUUUCUUAAAUAUAUUAAAUAUGUUGAAUUAAAAUAUUUACCAACAUUACAAUUUUUUAAAAUAGUAAUACAAAAUUCCUCUAAUUUAAAUUUCACUUUUAAAUUUUAAAUAUUUAAUAUUUAAAAUUUAAAUUCAUCGCAUUUAGAAAUAGAACUAUUUCUAAAAUUUCUAUAAUUUAAAUUAAUGCAUAAUUUUAGAAACACUAAAACAUUUAAAGUAGAUGCCUAAAUAAUCCUUUUACCUGCUAAAUAUUAAAAUUACAUUUUUACCCUCUAUUAAUCAACGGUUAAGAUCUUUUUUAUUUUUUUUUUUAAAAGUACCGAAUUAUUUCUCUUCUCCAUAUUAUUCUACUGCAUCUUUUCUUUUCUAUUCUCUUUUUUUUUUUUGUGAAUCACACAUACUAUAACAAGUGUGGUGAUCUUUCGAGUGUGCCUAUCACCAUAACACUUUUGCCUUUAUAGUAGUACUUUAGAAUUGAACAAAUUUGUGAGAACUUAUUUAUAUCUAGUUGUUAUGUGUUUAGUGGAUCCAAAUGAUAGUUUUAUGAAGUAUAUGGUAUGAACAGAUUUGUAUCUAGUUUUGAUUUAUCAAGUUUGUAUUGUUGAUUUUUCUUGGAAUAUUUGUUUACAAAUAAAAUGAAAUAGAUGCUAAUUUUGUAUUUUUAAAUUUGUUUGGAAAAGCUACUAGUUUUUCAAUUCCAUGAAAAAUACAAUAUUCUAUGCGCGCAAAUACUGAAAAAUAGUAUAUUAUUUUGGAGUAUUUAGAACUUGUACCAAUUUAUUACAUCAGAAUAGAAAACUCUAUUUUCGAUUCCCCUCACUGCCAAAUGGGCCCUUUGGCCCGAUCAAUGCUUGAUUAGGAAUCCAAUGCUUUAUGUUUGAUGUGGCCUUCAACCACCGAUUGUCUUUGGAGCAAGUGGCAAAGGGUUUGGUGGUUAUUAUCUGAGACCCAAGUUCGAAUCCUAGUUGAUUCACAUUUUCAGCUAAGUUUAUUUCUAAAUAAAAUAAACGAAGCGGGUAGCAUGCUAUCUAUCUCUCAAAAAAAAAAAAAAAAAAAAAAAAAAAACAAUCAAUCACUCCUUUGGAUUCAUAAAAGGUGCUGAUCGAACAGACUGUGCAUGACAUAAUUUUGUAAAAAAAAGCAAAUCAACUACUGAUUUUACUCAUGCAUCCCAAUGUAGAGAGCAAUGUUAUGGACUUAGUGAUUUUUACUCACUAAAGUCCAUGCGACGUUAACCUUCCUACUUGAAGAUGAGCAAGGAUGCGUCGUUCUUGUUAGUCAAUCCCGGUCCAUAUAGCCUUGCUUGCAGUCCAUUGUGCCUUCUCGCCUACGAGGCUGGAGCCAUGCUGCCGCAGUCCGCUUUCACUUCUACACAUGCUCCCUAUCCCUGCAUCGAGAAUUUUGCCGUUGAGCCUGAAUAGUCGAGCGUGCCUGUCCUUCACAGCACGCUUGCGUACACUGCCAAGCUGCGCUCCCUGCUCUUGCCGAGCUUGGACUCUUGGGUGGUUCUGCUGUAACAUCAAUAAUGGUAACAUUUUAUGACAAUAUGAUUUCUUACUCGAACCGGCUCUGAUAUCAACUGUCACGGACUUUAUUUGCUCAUCAAAUCCCUUGCAACGUCCGCCUUCCUAUUCAAAAAUGGACAAACCUACAUUGUUCCUGAAUAGUCUAGAACUUCUCACCGGCCUCAAAGACUAAGUGCAAAAUUACGAAAACGAGAGAAAGGAAUAGACGUUCUACAAAAACUAAGUACUCUAUUACUUAGAAACAAAAAUUAUAAAUACACUCUAUUCUCUACCUUGGCCACGGCCACCUCUCUAUUUAUAGGCAAUUACAAUGUUAAACACACCCACUAACACUUAAAAAAUUGCCCACAUAAGUACAAGAUGAAUCUAAGGAUUGCCCGAGUUUUCGCUGGCAAUUUUGGAGACUUUAAUUCUAGCAGUUGCAUGACCCUCGUUUUUCAUAGAAGCUACUCAUGAUUUGGUGCCCCUUUAGCUGCUUAUUUAACAAAGUUGGGCCAAGGAUUUGGCCGAGUUGGAAAUUUUUUUAAAUCCCUGACAGUAUAUAAGGUGUCUUGAAAAUAAUAUUGUAAUAUUACUCUUUACUAGAUUAAACUUAUAAGUAACAAUUAGGAAGUAUAUGUAGAUAGAUGCAAACUAGUUCCCUUACAAAGAGAGAUGGAUUAUAUAUAAUUAUACGCGGCGUACCUAUCAUUUUUUUUUUUUUUGUUUUGAAAGAGGUACCUGUCAAUUCCCAAAACCAAUCACAUGAUGACCAUUAUAAAUUCUGGACGGAACUGAAGAAGUUUUAUAUAUAUGUGUGUGUGUGGAGGGAAAAAUUCUAGAAUGUAACGGGUAUAUUAGUGACGUGACGUAACAAACCAAUCAAAUUAAUCUUUUUAAGAAUAUAUGUCCCAUCAUGAUUGUAAAAAAGUAUUUUUAUUGUACUUUUGUUUGAAAAGAAAGAAUGUGAUUGGCUUGUUAUUGAUGACGUGGUGCAAGUGUGACAGUGUAGAAUUCCUCGUGGGGGGGGGGGCAGCUAAAUUAAAGCUGCGCCACACAACAAUGGCUGCACAAUUCUUUAUCAACAUCUUCCUCCGUGGGCUCGAAGCUCGUCCAUGGUUCUCCUGUCUGAUCAUCCGGUUCGGUGUCGAAGGUGUGGACUGCCCAAAUAUAGCUGCAGCCGGCCGAUGAUCUUUGGUAUCCUGCCAGGAAGUAUAGCCGCGUCCCGACGGGCGCCAAGGUCAGGUAGUUGAGCCUCCGCGACGGCCUGGAGGGCCCUUCCUGAUCAUCACAAGCAGCGUCGUGAGUGAUGAGGAGCGACGACAGGUCGGGGCGCUGUGAGCGCUCCACGAUGUUCCAAAUCUUGAGCUUGCCGUCGUACGCCUCGACUUGACCCUUCCACGUGUUCAGGCAGUCCCCGGAGCUGAGCAGCCGCCCCCCGACCGCCGCGAUCUGGUUGGGCGGCACGUCCAGCUGCCACAUCCCCGGGAUCAGAUCCCACUUGCUUCGCCCCUCGUCGUACGCCUCCGCGGAGCUCCGCUCCAACAAUCCCGCCAAGCAUUCCCGCUCCGGCGUGAACCCGCCCACCACGUGGAACCGCCCCUCCCACGUGACCGCGACGCACUUGUACCUCGGGGUGCUCAUGUCGGGAAGAGCGGCCCAUUGGUCCCGAGAAGGGUCGUACACCUCCGCAGUCGCCGUCCAUCUGUGGGCACCCGACACUGCCGACAGCAUGCACUGCCCGCCGGCCGCGUAGAUCUUCCCGUCGCACGCCGCGCAUGCGAAGUCGAACCGCGGAGCGAUGAGCUGAGCGCAUGACGACCACUCCUCCGUGCGGAUGUUAUACCUGUUGAAUAUACAAUAUAAGAAUUAAUUAAUACUGCUCUCUGACAACUUAUUAAAGUUCAGAGAAAAUAAUAAUUUUACCUGAGAACCUCGGUUCUGACGGCGACAUCCACCUCAACCGGAUCGACGUCUGCAUCGCCGUCGCGGCCGGGCUCUGAUCUCUGGCAAAGCCUGCCGCCGAUGACGUAAACGCAGUCCCCGAGGGAGAUGAGAGCGAAGCCCUUGAGAACGCUCGUCUCGGGGAUCCCGGGGAUCGGACCGAUGCGGCGCCACGUGUGAUUGGAGGGGUCGUAACUCUCCAGCUGCGUGGAUAACGGGGAUCCUCUACGGCAAAAGCACGCGUAUAUCCUGAAGUUGGUGUUAGUAGGACGACGGCCGGGAAGCGAACCCAUCUAUACUGUUACUAACUAUAAAUUAUUCUAGCCGGGGGAGUUUGGAAGUGGAGACGAGAGCGGAGGAUAUAGAAGGACGGAGGCGGAGAGGUCGAGGGGGAGCUGCGGUGGGCCGUUCGAGGCAUCGAUCAUGACGAUGAAAUAGAGAGAGAACGAUACAAAGCGACGCGUGUUGUGGGAGGAAAUUACUAGAAGGGGUUCUGACGUACGCGAGGUGUUUUUUUUCUCAAUAAUAAUUCAGUGGCCAUUGGACCGGAAAGAGAAGAGAUUUAUGUGAUUGACUUGGACCAAAUCGGACCAUCAUUUGAUGAGUUCUAGCAUAGCAGAGAGAAAAACGAAAGUCCGUAGCUCGCUAUAUAUGAUACCAACUAAUUUUAAUUCAACAUUGGUUUUAAUAUCGACUAAUAAUUGUAUUUCGCAAUAAAAAAUAUCAAAUUAGAUUUUUAUUAUAAAUUUAUCUCUUGCAUGCAAUAAUACCUAACACAACUAUUAAAAGAAAAAUCAAACCAAAAUAUUAUAAGUAAAAUAAGAUUAAUUAUGAGUAUGAUCGUUUUCCUAUUCAUAAGUCGUUUUUUUUAUGAUAGAACUUCCUGAUCAACGAUUCAUACCGUUAAAUAUGAUUUAUAGCAUUUGAAACUUUUAGAAAUCAAAUUUCGUAAUUAUUCGGCAUUAUUUAUUUUAUGAUCAAAAGAUCUCAAAUUUGAUAAUUUUUAAUGGCUGAUGUGGGAUACUUUCCAGUUUAACGAUGGUUGAAUUUUUGAUAAAAGAUUUUAGCCACUGUCUAAAUAAAGAUUAAUAGCUUUGCUUUUAAAUUGAAGAAUCCGAUUAUCCAUUUUUAGGAUGCAUUCAAUUUUGACCGUUCAUUUUAUACCCGCUUGAUGGAUUUUAUUAUAAUUUUAAAAAAUUACGAAAUUUAAUUUUUUGAAGUUUUAAAUCAUAUUUAACGAUGUGGAUCGUCGAUUCAAAAACUCCAUACUGAAAAUAACUUGUAAGUUCAAAGAGCUCUAUACUUGUAAGAGUAUAAUAGUCUUACUUUCUCUCUCUCUCUCUCUCUCUCUCUCUCUCUCUCUCUCUCUCUCUCUCUCUCUAUAUAUAUAUAUAUAUAUAUAUAUAUAUAUAUACACAGAGGGAGUCCAGUUAUUAUACUAUUGAUAGCACAAAGCGCUUUUUACUAUUGAGUUUUCCGCUGUUAGAUCUAGCCCUACUCGUUUGAUUAUAUUAUUCAACCAAUCACCCAGUCAACCCUAGGGAAUUACUAUCAUCCUAACAACGCACAUUCCUCAUCUAAGGGCCGAAAAUCUAAUAGCAACAACUUAAGCUUAUUUCCUCCGCUC